AAAUCUAGUUUACUUACCUUCUAGCAUCCUCGAGUAACAAAUAUGUGUCGAUAUCACCGACCUAAAGUCAAUAAAAAAUACUCCUAUAAGAUAAAAUCAUAUCAAAUCAUAAACUCUAUUGUUCUCAAAUUCCUCAAUAUAACACCCUCUAAACUUAACCUCAAUUAAUCUUAAUUUGAAUAAUUAAUUACAAAAAAUACCAAAAUUUAAAUUACUAGAAUGCCCCUUAAAUCUCAAAAUCACAAGUUGCCAAAUUAUCCUCAAAAUCAUAAUUUAUCGGACUACCCUUAGAUUCUUAUUCUCCAAAUCAUAAAUCACUGAAAUAUUCACGAAAUAAAAAAUUUAAGAAAUUACCCACAAAUUCUAAAAAAUUACUAAAAUGCUCUCAUCGAUCAACAGUGAUCUAAAUUCAUACGGUGGUGAUGGGAAAGGUCGGGAUAGAAGCUUCAUGUCGCAUUGAAUCCAACGGUGGCGACGGAGGCACCAGAUUGAGCUCCCAAAGCUGUGAACACUUUGGAGGUCGAUUGGCAGCAAAUCAACUAUUUGUGGUGAUGUGGGUGGUAAAACAAUGCAAGUAGUGACCUAAGGAACGAAACCCAGUCGGUGGCGUCACCCAAAACCAGUGAAAUCACAGUGAAUGGAGGUGGCAAAUACUGCAAGUUUUGCGGGCCCAAAUGACGGCUGUCUGGUCGUUAUUCAACAGUAAUGAUGGCGGGGAAGUGACCAUUGGUUCUAAAGCUUCUAAUCGGUACCUCCCGUUGCUGGUGGGGUGGUCGGGAACGAGAAAUGGUGACCAGGUUGGUUCAUGGGUCAGGUUUUCCGAGUUGGUUUUGGCAGCUUUCUCUCUUUCUCACGUGUGAAUAUGCUUCCUCUUCUUUAAACAAUUUCCAGCUUCCUUUUUUUAUAUAAUCAAAUAUCAAGUCAAAAUUAGUCAAAGCAGCGGGGUGGGGUAUUACAAAGUAUCACUACUACAAAAAUGUAAAACAAUAACCCAUACAUUAUGACGGUUUAUUUAAAAAACCGUCAUUAAAAAUAUUUAAUGACAGUUAUUAUAUGAACGGUCAUAAUAUAUAAUAUUUAUAAUGACGGUUCUAUUAUAAAACCGUCAUUAAAUAUCAUGCCAAAAUGUAAUUUUACUUUUAAUGAUGGCUACUUGUAAAAACAGUCAUUAUAAAUUUCAAACUUUUAAUGACGAUUUUAUUAUAUAACCGUCAUUAAAUAUCAAGUUAUUUUUAAUGACGGUUUAUAAAAAAACCGUCAUUAAAAGUCAUUACAUAUUAAACUAUUAUUUUUAUAACGAUUCUAUUAUAUAACCGUCAUUAAAUAUCAAGUUAUUAUUUUUAAUGACGGUUUAUAAAAAAAGGUCAUUAAAAAUCAUUACAUAUUAAGUUAAUACUUUUUAUGACGGUUCUAUUAUAUAACCGUCAUUAAAUAUAAAAUUAUUACUUUUAAUGACGGUUUUUAAACAAAACCGUUAUUAACAAUCAUUAAUGACAUUAUAUAUAUAAACUGUCAUUAACUAUAAAAUUUUAUUUUUAAUGACGGUUUUGUUUAAAAACCGUCAUUAAAAAGCUACAAUAUUUUUAAUGACGGUGUUUAAUAGGCUUGGCAAAAUCCGGAUCCUGUCCGGGUUUUGGUGUUGCCCGGGACCGGACCGGAUGAGAGAAAUGUAAGUCCGGAACCGGGUUAAAACCCGGUUUUUCCGGGUGCGGUCCGGGCUUGAGCCCGGUACCUUCCGGGUCCGGGUUUUGAUCCGGGCUUUUAAAACCCGCAUGUGAUAAAUUUAAUUUUUUUUUCAAUUUUUUUCUUUAAUUUUUUUUUUCAUUUCUCUAACAAUGCAAAUUUUAAAAAAGAAAAUAAUCAAAUAAACUCAUUCAAUCUCAAACUUUAAAAAAGAAAAUAGUCAAAUACAAAUAUAUAACACAUUAACAAUGCAAAUUUUGCACAAAUGAUAAAUAAAAAUUAUUUCAAUCUACUUUCUAAUACCUAAAUUCAUCUAAUUUCUAACUUAAACUCAUUCAAUCUAUAUAUAAAAUAAAUAAAUUAAAUUCAACAACACAAUAAUUACACAAUAAAUUUAAAUAACAUCCAAUAUAUCAUAAAUUCAUAAUUAUAUAUUUAUAUAUAAUAUAUUUAUUUUUUNNNNNNNNNNNNNNNNNNNNNNNNNNNNNNNNNNNNNNNNNNGUCAUUAAAUAUCAAGUUAUUAUUUUUAAUGACGGUUUAUAAAAAAAGGUCAUUAAAAAUCAUUACAUAUUAAGUUAAUACUUUUUUAUGACGGUUCUAUUAUAUAACCGUCAUUAAAUAUAAAAUUAUUACAUUUAAUGACGGUUUUUAAACAAAACCGUCAUUAAGAAUCAUUAAUGAUGUUAUAUAUAUAUACUGUCAUUAACUAUAAAAUUUUACUUUUAAUUAAAAAGCCACAAUAUUUUUAAUGACGGUGUUUAAUGACCGUCAUCGAAUAUAAAGAAUCGUUUUUAAUACAUUUCAUGACCGUUUUAUAAUAACCGUCGUUAUAUGUUAUUUGCCUUAAAAAAUAAAAAUUGAAUUAUGGGUAAGAGGAUAGAAAAUCACAUUGACAGAAAAGAGGACUGAAACGCCCUGAUUUUUACUGCUGCGUUUACUUUUUGAAGAGCUCAGAUCAGGAGCGAAUCUUUAUCCAAUAAUUAUAAAAAGUUCAUAUUUCAAAUAAAGGAGAAUUCCGAAGAAUUAAUAAUUAAAUCUAUCUUAUUUAUUUUUUUCGAUAUCUUAAUUUUUUUGUGACUUAAAUUUUUUUUUUUUUAUGAAGAUUGCUUUAGCCUAAAUUUAACUUAACUAUUUUACCCGGUCCUUGGAAAAUCGUUCUGCUGUACCGUACAUCCGCCUUGGCCGUACAGCAGAAUGACGGUGUUUAAUAACCGUCAUCGAAUAGAAAGAAUCAUUUUUAAUACAUUUCAUGACCGUUUUAUAAUAACCGUCGUUAUAUGUUAUUUGCCUUAAAAAUUUUUUAAAAAAAAGCCGAUAAAAGGAAUAAAGGAAACGCGCAAUCCCUAACCACUCACAUUCGUUGUCUUCUUCUUCAAUUUUCACGAAUUACAAUCACAACGACUCACUCAGUCACACACACCAGCCCUAACCCUACCUAAGCUAUCAAACGCCAAUGCCGCUGCCGCUGUCAAAUCGAUUCAAGUGCUCCGGCGCUGAGUCUAGCCGUCCUUGAGCCGAUUUGCUUCCUUUUUCUGCCGCCGCUGUCAAUCUCUGCCAUUCUUGAGCCGAUUCACUUCCGCAAAACAGCUGCUGUCAUCUCUGCCGACAUUGCCUCUGUGUUCGUUCACCGUCAGAUGCAGGGUUAUUGUGGUGACACUGCCUCCGCUGUCGACUUCCUUCCCUCUUCAUUCUCCGUCUGAAGUUCAACUUUCUUGUAGGUGGAAGUUGCUCGGUUCUUAACAGCAGUUCUCACUGGAGAUUUUAAGUUCCUUCGACAUCUUGUGGGUAGAUAGAUAUUGCUUAGAUAUCGUAUUUUUUCCUUUUGUUGGUUCUCACUUUUGUUCUGACCUUCUUGCAGGACAUAUCCAACAGGGAAGGUUUAGCUUCUGAAGGUGACUGGUAUGACAGAUGUUUCAAUUCACGGUAAUGUUUCUGCUUCUGGAUUGGCUGUGCUGUUAUAAAUUCAUUGUUUUUUUAAUCAAAUUUCGGUGCAUGUUAUGCAGGAUCAUUCCUUUAAAGGAGGUCUCAGAAGAAAGGCCUGAUAUCUGUGUGCUGGCUGAGUUUCCAUCAGAAGGAAGGUUCGUUUUUUCUGAAAGUUUUAUGGUUGAGACUUAAACUUCAUCUGCUGUACGGCCAAGGCGGAUGUACGGUACAGCAGAUAUUUUCUUAAGUUUUUAACUUCUGAUAUUUGCUUUCUAUAAAUGAAGGUCGCUUUUGAGAAGGUUGCACCUUUACAACAUUGAAAGAAUGGAUAAUGCAUCACUGUCUAUGGCAUUGUCUGCCUGCCCAUCUCUCCUUGAUCUAGAAAUUGUUGGCCUGUAAGUUUCUUUAGGCUGGGUUUUCCUUGUAUACAUUUCCUUUGGUUUUAAGAAGGUUGCACCUUUAUAGCAUUCUGCUGUACCGUACAUCCGCCUUGCCGUACAGCAGUAUUUUAUUAAAUAUUAUUUAUUUAUUUUUAUUUUUAUUUUAAGGAUAAAAUGGGAAGAGGGGGGAGUGGAUUCCCACUCCCCACUCCAAAAUUGAGUGGGACCCACGGAUUCCCACUCCCACUCCCCCCUUUUUUAAGGCAAGUAAACACUGGAGUGGGAGGAAUCCACACUCCACACUCCCACUCCAGAAAGUAAACACUACCUAAGUGGAGUUUACUUAUUUGUUAAAAAAAUAAAUUUUAAAUUAUUAAUGAUUUAAUUGUCUUAUGCUUAUUAUAUUGUUCGUAAAAUUUUUGUUACAAGUCCAGCCCAUGAACCUCUUUAUAUUUUAGCAUUUCUUUAUUUAUUUACGAAACGAAAACCAGCGUUCGGAUUCAAAAGGAACAAAACAGAAAAAGGAAGAAAGGAAACAAGAGGAUAACAGGACGUGAGAGAGGAGAAGAGGGAGAAAGAAGAGAAAGACAAGAGAGGCUAGGUGAAGGAUUUGGAUUUAAAGAAAGAGAAUUCAAUUUCAGAGCAAAAUAUUAAAUAUCUGGCUUUUUAAAUUUGUAAGCCUUCUUUCUCAGUUCACUUUAUUCUUUUAUUUUUCUUCAAAAUUCUUGUUUAAAUUGGCAUGCAUGUUGAUGUUGUUAAGUCAUUUCUAAAUUAACUUGCAUGCAUGAUUAAAAUUCUGUUUAUUUAGGUAUUAUGUCAUUGAAAUUAGUCUCUUUUCCCAUGCUUGUUUCAAGUUCCAAUUCUUAUUUGAAAAAAAAAAAAAAAUUCGCUGUUUGUGCCAUAAUCUGUUUUGGGUAUUAAAGUUGAUACUACCUAGCAAAUUCUAAACUGUAAUGGCUGAUUUCUUCUCUUAUUUUUGUUUAAUCUAUUCAAAUUCAUGUAUAAAUUUUACAGGCGUUAGAUAUUUGUCUAAUUAUCAUGUAUGUGUUAAAUUCAUUUUGGGUGAAUUUUCAUACUAUUUAAUCAAGUUCAAAGUUACAUGGGUUUGGCCAAUUAUCACAUAAUCUCUUCUUUGACUAUUUGAUUAGAUUUUUGUUCAUGCGUGGCUUAAUUAAUUUCAAAAUCUUCUUACUUAUAAAGCAUUAAUAUCUUUUGCAAUUAAAUUCUCUAAAUUUUCCUGGCUGCUGUAUGAACAACUCUAGUUUUUUUUCCUUAAAUAAAUUUGUUUGAAUUCUAAUUAAUACUUUAAUUUAAUGGAUUAUAAUUUAAAUCUUGCAGCAGAUUAUAAUUUAUGGUGCUAAUGGUAUUUUUUUUAUUUAAUCCAUUGUUUUGUUCUUCAGGCUAUUGAUCCUAGGACUUGCAUGGUUUUAUUCAAAAUGCUAAAUUGGGUUGCAUUCCAGUGGCUGUAUUUUGACGGGAAAAGAAGUAUGUAGUGCUACUCUUCUUUUUGAUUUUUUUGAUUUUAUUGUCAUUAUUAUUUAGCUUAACGGCAACCCAAUUCACUGUGGGCCGCUGCUGUACCGUACAUCCGCCUUGGCCGUACAGCAGUAAGGAUUCAGUUUCUGAAGGGCAAGCUUGCUGGCUGGGUAUAAAUGUUCCAAGUGCCAAUCCCACCUUAUGUAAGCACAAAAUAUAGUCUCCAUUUCCUUUUUGGAUUAUAUUUGUUUGUAUAGUUAUAUGAUACUGGAUUUUAAUUUAAGAAUUUGUGCAGUACAUUUUUUUACUGUUAGGAGUUAGUUUGAUCAAGGUUAUUUAAGUACUAAACUGUUAUAAUUGAGCUUGCAUGCAUUUAAAUUUUUUUAUAUGUAAAUGACAAUUAUAUCAAUGUGUAAUGUAAAUUGAAAUUUGCCAAUGUGGCUUCAAUUGGACAGUUUAGAAUGUGAAAACAACUAUCUAAAUUUUAAUUUAAAAAAACAAUUGAAGUAUAGUAAUUUUAAAUUGUUAUCUUUUUUUAUUUUUACUCGUGCAAAAGAUGACGGUUCUUAUAUAAGAACAAUCAUUAAAGAACGAUAUAAGAUGACUGUUAUGAUACAAAACCGUCAUUAAAAUUUGAUAUUUAAUGACGGUUAUUAAAAAACUUUCAUUGAAAAUAUAUAUGUAAUGACGAUUAUUAAAAAAAUCUGUCAUUAAAAAUAUAUAUUUAAUGACGGUUAUUAAAAACCCGUCAUUAAAAGUAUAUAUUUAAUGACAGUUGUUGGCAAAAAACCGUCAUUAAAACUUAUGUACCUAUAGCAUAUAAUGACGGUUUAUUACAAUAACUGUCAUAAUAAGUAGACAUUUAAUGACGGUUUUUAAACCGUCAUAAAAAAUGUACCCCUUUAAAUGUUGCUGCCUAAGAUGACGGUUUUAAAACUGUCAUCUUAUGUCUUUUAAAACUGUCAUUAAAGGCCAAUUUUGUAGUCCUGUAUGAUCUUGAAAAAAGAACACGUACAUACUGAUAUUGCCAUAGAUAAGCUUAAAGGUCUUAUUUCUUUCUUUGAAAGCCAUAGAAAAGAUGGAUUCAUGUUUGCUGUGAUUUCAGCAAGUGAAAUGGAAAUAGAAUCUAAAUUUCAUGAAAAAAAGUAUAAUUUGUAGAAAAAGAAACAAAUUUAAUGAAAAUGUUAGUGAAGAGGAAAUGUUGUCUGUUGAAGAGUCCUUUAGAAUUAAUUAUUUUAUUUAUAUAGUAGAUCAAGUUAUUUCUACAAUAAGUUAUUUGAAAUUAUUCACAUAUAUGAUAAUAUGGUUGGAUUUUUGUUUAAUUUCAAAAAAUUACAAUCGUUAAAUGACACUACGUUUUAAAUAUUUAUUAUGUUAAUCUCGAAAAUACUUUAAAACAUGCUACACUUUCUGAUAUAGAUGGUGCAUAUUUAUUUUAAGAGUUGAGAUUUUAAAUGAAGUAUUUCAAGGUAAAAAAAAUACUAAUUAAUUAUUUGAAAACAAAUUGAUUCUUUCUCAAAUGCAUAUAUUGCAUAUAGAAUAUUAUUAAUAGUACUUGUUUCUGUAGAAAGAAGUUUUUAAAAUUAAAAUUUAUAAAAACAUAUUUAGAAUUAACAAUCUCGCAAGAGAGAACAAAUGAAUUAGCUAUAUUGAUUAUUGAGAGAAAUAUAUUCAUGAAAUUAGAACAUAAAAAUUUAAUUAAUAAUUUUGCAUUUCAGAAAGCUAGAAUAAAUUGAUCUUAAAUAAAUAAAAAUUUUAGUACAAUUCACCUACGACUUUAAAAAUUGGUUGAGUGGUUCUUGCCUACAAGACUUGCGAUGAUAAAGACACUAAAAUGUACAUUGUUAGACACAUGUAUUUCUUUCUUUUUUUUUAAUUUUUCAUCAGACCUAUCAAAUUGUAAUUUGAUGGUUAAUAAUUUUUUUCAUAUUGUGUCAAAAAAAAAAAAAAAAAAGAGAGGCUCCUCGAACAAGCCUCGCACCACUAGUCUAAGUUUGUAUGCGCAUGUGCUUAUGUACUGCACACUGAUAUACUAUGUUAUCAUUGUGUCAGAAAGGAAAGGCUCUGACUCCUCGACAUGCCCUAUACCAACUAGUCUAAAUUUUCAUAUGCAUGUGGCUCAUGUGCUACACUUUAGUGUAAUGCAGUAAAAUCAAGAAGAAAAAAAGUGAAAUAUGUUGUGUCUUUUCCGUGAGAAAUUCUAAAAUGCAUAAGAGAUAAAGAUUUUGCUAAGUUACUGCUGCUGUAACUUUCAAUUCCUUUAAUAAUCAGGGUCCAGCUACCAUGCCCCUCGGGGCAUGGUACUCGUUUUUUUUGUCAAUAUCCCGUGUAGCCGUUAGAUUAUAAAUAAUUUAAUCCAACGGAUGGGUUUGAAAGGGCUAAAAGUGAAUAACAGUGGGCUACCGUCGAAACCAGUUUCUUCCAGUUUGUUUGUUCGAAAUUAGUUUUAGGGUCUAUAAACCCUUAUUGGCCAUUUCGGGCGAUGACUGCAGUUUGUCGAACGCAAGGAAAUUGAAGUGCGCAAGGUGUAACUGCGGUUGGGGUAGCGCUUCCGUGUGCGAUUAUUGAAUUGGCUUGCAGUGCUUGCAACUUGUGGCGGCAGUAUUGAACGAGGCAGAAGGGAUUGGGUUAACACAAUUAAAGGUCAGUAUAAUUUGAAUUUCAGAUUAGAGAUAGGAAUCAUGUGUGGGUGAUAAAAGUGGAUGGUGGAAAUUUAACGUGUCGUUUGGACAAUUGGAAAUUUUGGGAGUAGAGGGCAAAAAAUGUAAAUUUAGAUUAAGGAUAUUUCCUGCACAUCGCGAUUGGUGGUUACGUUGAGAAAUUGAACCCAGUUGAAUUAAUGAAGUGUUGUGCAUAUAAAUGGUUCCAAAAUAUAUUUUGUACAACGAGUGAAAAAUUGAGGGGUUUCGGGCAAUAAAUAUAAAAAAUAAUUGGGGAUUAUUUAGCAGCAGUUUAAUGUGGCGUAUUUAAAGUAAUAGGAUGAAGAAGAAGGUUGGUGUUAUGUUGUGUAACUUGAUUGUGUUGCCGGCAAUUACUGUGCCUUUCUUGAACUUAGUCAUGACUAUGCAUUCGAAUAGAAUUUCAUAGAAGCACCAGACAUGUGACAUGUUAAUUAUCAAUUUCUACUGAAUUAUUAAGAUUUAGAUAAUAAAAGUUUUCAUUUGUAGCAUAGUAAAGGGAUUAAUUAAUUGAUUAGUAUUGUAUGGUUGUAAGUAUAAGCAAUGAGAACCCAAUGUAUGACAUUGAAUUCCACAGUAGCGUGGGUGUUAAUAAGUUAACAUUGAACAUGCGUGGACAAUUAGUAACAGGAAAAGUGAAAUUGAAGCAAAUAUUUAAAUGAUGUGAAUGAGAAGCAUGAAGCUGAUGACAUGGGGGUAAUGGUACAUGCACUAACUGAAUUUGUAUAUUGUUUUCGUGGAGUUGAUACGAAAUGUUUUUGUUAGUUUCGUUUGGGGCCGGUAAUGUAAAUGAUAUGUAUUUGUGUUAUGCAUUAGUAAGGUAUGUAUAUGUUGCUAUAAAACAUAUUUUGAUGGUUAGAAAUGGCAGUGUGACUGAAAUUCAGGAAUGAAGGUGGUGGGGACAAAUAAGCGUAAGGAAUGUGACAUUAACAGAGGGACUGAAGUGGUUGGUGUUGAUGCAAGCAAUGAUGGGGGAAGAAAAAGGCAGUGCCGCAAUGGGUUCAUAAGAUAUUUGUAAGCUAUGUUAAUGGAAAAAUAAAUAAAUGAACAUAGGACAGUAACAGUGGAGUGGUAAGUAUAGGUUUUGACUAAUUAUUUUGGUAUUGAUACGAUGAUAUUGCAGUGGUGAAGUUGUGCGUCAGAUUAAGGCAAAUGAUGGAAUGGCAUGCAUUACAAAAGAGGUUAGUAAAUUAGCAUUGUAGAAAUAAAGAAAUGGUAAUCGCCACCGGAUUAAUGUGUAGUGAGUUAAAUUGGGUUACCAUGAUUGUAUUGUAGAUUCGAAAAGAAAUAGGAUCCACGUAUAAGAAUUUGCCACCAGAGGAAAAGUGUCGGUAUAAAAGUGAGGCGAAACGAGUAGGGAAGUCAAAAAUUGGGAAGGCAAAGUUCCCCACCAGAUGUGCUCCAGAUAGAUUAGCUGCAGCAGUUUUACAACUUACAGAUGAACAAAGAGUAGUUGUUCGUGAAAUGGGCUUUGGUAGUUUGUUACAACUGAACUGUGGCAGGCUAAAGAGGAAUCUUUGUGGAUGGUUAGUUGAGAAGAUCGAUAUUGCGAGGUGCAUUUUACAGUUGAAUGGUGUUGAGGUGGAGCUAAGCCCGAAGAGUUUUAGUUAUGUAAUGGGCAUAUCAGAUGGGGGUAAGCCACUUCAGUUAGAAGGGGAGAGUUCUGAAGUAUGUGCAUAUGUAGACAAUUUUACCCCAACAUCAAGGGGUAUAAACAUAACGGUGUUGGCAGGAAUUUUGCAAAAGUUGAAGUCAGCGGAUGAUCAAUUCAAAGUGACAUUUAUGAUGUUUGCACUAUGUACUAUUUUAUGUCCCCCAGGAGGUGUGCAUAUAAGUUCUGGCUUUUUAUUUUCUUUAAAGGAUGUUGAAAGUAUUCCAAAAAGGAAUUGGGCGACGUUUUGCUUCCAUAGACUUAUUCAAGGGAUUACAAGACACAAGGAAGAACAGGUAGCGUACGUAGGAGGUUGUCUGCUAUAUCUACAGGUACUUUUUAAUUAUGGUAACAGUUGCAGCCAGUUCGCAACAUAUGAUAAUAUUAAUCAUGAAGUGUCGAAAGAUAUGUAAGUUAGGGUAGCAUAUUGAACAACUGUCAUGGUAGGCUGAAAAAAUCGAAAAAAAAUAGAUUAGAUGAAAUAGUUAGUGAAUACAUAUGAUCGAGGGCAGAAUUUAAUCCUCAUAUACAUAAAUGGACAUACAUGUGAGGAUUAAUGGUAAUUGAUCUGUAUAGAUCUGGACAGUUAUAGUAGUUUGGAAAUUAACUCGUUUGCAUUCAAACCGUAUGUAUUGUACCAUAAUCCCUGUAAGUGUUCGUUUGCAUGCAGAUGUUGUACUUCAACUCUAUUGUAUACGGAAAGCUGGAGAGGGAUAGGUCAAUGUGUCCGCUUGCUUUGUGGAAUGUAAACGAGAUAAAGAAGUUAAUGAAGUGGAUAGACAGCAAAGGAGGUUUUGAUAGCCAUCAGGUCAUAUAACUCGAAGCGAUAAGACAAUUGUUGGCUGUUUUUGCCAUUAACAUUUUGAAUAAUAAGUAUGAGUUGACGACCACUUGAUUGAGAAAACAAACAUCAUAUGCAUUAUAUAUCAUAUGAAAGUUGAUGAGGAUUAAAGGUUUAUAAAAUUAUCAGUGGUUGUCUUUUAGUUUUGCGAACCCCAUUUAUUAUGAGGUAAAAAAAUUUUUCGCAGGUGUCUAUCUCUUCCACGUCGAAAGAAGGCUGUCAAUUACAUUCACUCAGAAAAUUUCAGAAAGAAAAAUUUGGCAGUUUAAAUACGGAUGCAGCAAAUGAGACAUUUGUUAAGGUAGAUAAUGUGUCCAAUCUGGUUGAUGACGUAGCGGAGCUGGUGACCUUAUCUAGUAGGCUCGCAGGACAUGUAGAUAGGCUAAAGGCAGUUGGGUCGCGCACAAUGAAGGGAGGUGCUGAAAAAAUGAGGGAUUGUUCAGGGUAGAAUGUUAACCAGUUAUCAUAAUUGUCAUUAUUGUUUGUUAGCAUGCACAAUCACUUCUUCUACUUCUGUUAUGCUAUUUGUAAUCCUAAUAUAACUCUUUAUAUUUUAUAAGCACCUUCAUGCAAAAUUUAUCCCCACGGUUAAUGUUAUUCAACUAAUUGACUUACUCAAACUAUUUAUAUAUUACGUCAACUAUCCAGGUCUACAAAUUACAUUGAUCCAAAUAUAUUACACAUGAGGAAACCAAACGUGGUCACUGGAAAACUGCCAAUUCAGCAGUUAUUAGUUGAAGGCGAUGGUGGAAAUAAUACCCUGGAUGACAAUUAUCGUCGAUAUCCAGCAACACAAGUCAUGGCUGCAUCACCAGAAUAUUGCUCAUGCAAUGCACAUGAUGAUGCCAGAUUUGAGCAUGGCAAAUUAUCAAAAGAUCGAACCACUACCCUUAUAAAAAGGAGAAGGACAAUGAGACAACUUUUUACUGCUACACAAUCUCAAGGCCAUACUGGGACUACCAGUUUCACACCUAAUACAGGUCAAAGGUUUCAACCACAUGUUAAAUGUUGUGCUGCUUCCGACAAAGUAUACGAUGAUGGCCGAAAUGUUGUUCCUGACAUAGCUUAUGAUGAUUACGAGCUUGAAGGAUAUGCUUCAGAUACUGACAAGAUGACACUUUACAGUUCUCCACAAACUGAUGAAGGUGAUUUUACAGGGGAUGGAUUUUUAUUCGAAAAUGUGUCUAACAAGAUGAUCAUUCAAUUGGGUCAUCAUUUUAAGGACGUGUUCCAAUUUAGAAGAGCUGUUGAAGUUUUUGCAAUACGAGAAGGAUUUAAACUAUGCAUUAUGGAGAAUAGGAGUGAUUAUGUUAGUUGCGAGUGUUCUGCAUUAUACUGUGAUUGGAAAAUCACUGCAUCAGCUGAUUCAAGUGGUCGUACAUUUGCAGUAACCGAAUUCGUUAAUGCUCACAAGUGCAGCAGGUCUGCUACAGAGUUUUAUGACAAUCCAAAGUGGAUUGCCGCAAUGUUCUUUCAUACUUGGAAACAACAACCAAACCUUCAGCCGUAUGUCAUACAGAAACAAAUUGCAUCCAGAUACAAUGUGUCAUGCCCUCUUCCCAAACUACACGAAGCUUCAAAACGUGCAAAGGCAUUACUUGAUAUUGAUCACACGGAUGGAUAUUUAGAUAUAUAUCAGUACAUUGAGGAAAUGAAAAAGCUCCAUAACCGGAAUACAGUUAUUUUGGAGACUGAAAAUAAUGAAGCUGUUGGUGAUGCCACUUUCAACAGACUGUUUGUCUGCUUUGCUGAACCUGCUUAUGCAUUCAAGUAUGAAUGUUGCAAGAUGCUUUUUGUUGAUGGUUGGAAACUUAAAGGACCGUAUGAAAGUGUAAUGUUGGUGGCUGCAACUAUUGAUGGAAAUGAUGGCAUUCUCCCUAUAUCGUUCUGUGAGGUGCUUCAUGAGGACAUAGAUUCAUGGGUAUUUUUCUUGACCAAUCUUACAAAAGCUUUGAAAAUGGAACAUGGCGAAGGUCUCUGCAUUCUAACGGAUGGCGAAAAUGGUCUUGAUUAUGUCUGCGAAGAGUACCUCUUUCGCGGGGAGAUAAGACAUUGUUGCCGAAAUAUUUUCACCAAAAUGGUCAAAACUUUUCCGGAUGCACCUGUUCAACACUUAUUCUGGGCUGCUUGCCGUAGUGCUUCCAGUUACAAGUUCAACAACUACAUGAAAUUGAUAACGGAUGAAAGUGAAGAGUGUCAUGCUUGGUUAAUGGGUACAAAUUGGAACCAAUGGGCAUUGCAUUGCAUGCCUAACUGGGUUAAAAGUAACCACGUCACACUUAUGGUCACUGAACGUCUUCGCCGAUUCAUGAAAAGAUACUUGCACCUGAGCAUUACUCACAAGUUUACUGGAUUGACAAAUGCAACUGCUUAUCUUUUUGAGCAUCGAAGACUUCAAGGGUGGGAGUGGAUUUACCAGCGAAUUACCCCAACUGUCACAAACAUAAUUCAACAUCAUCUUAUUGAAGCCCGCUACCUGGCCGUGCAAAAUAAUAACGGCACUAUUUCAGGUGUUACGGAUGCUGCUUCUACUUUGUACGAGGUGGACAUGCAAAGAAAGCUUUGCAGUUGUGGCUUCUGGCAGAAGUCAGGUGUUCCAUGCGCACACGCAUGCAAGUGUAUUCUACAAAAGGCUGAAAAGAUCGAUGACUUUGUUGACAAAAUGCGGACAAUCUCUCAAUAUAGGGAUACUUAUGGACCGGGAAUGAAUUCACUGCCAAAUGAUUUUCCAUGGAAGUCCCAUGUUUCCACUGUUUUGCUCCUUCCUCCUCGUGCACAUGCCACAAUUGUACAGGACCCGCCUUACCCUAUUCCUCAUACAAAAUAGGUAAAAUUUCCAAGUUUCUUCUAAUAUAUAUUGUCCACACUAUGCAUUUAUUUCAAAUAUUUUUCUCAAAACAACCCUUUUGGUUUACUAUUUCACAUUGUUUAACCGUUUCAGAUCAGUCCUUAUUCGGCCACAACAGAACUUACUGGACAUGACUUCUUCCACCUACCAUCAAGCAGCAAUGAUGAAGAUUCAAUAAGUAAGUCUUUCUUUUUCUUUUUCAUAGUCUGAUACUAUGAAGUCCAAUUGUUAGGGAUAUCAAUCGACUUUACAAGUUCUUGAGCCAACUAUUGCCACAAUUUCAUUUUAAACAGAUAUGACUCAUAUCAUUGCAACCCAACUUUCAAGUGCGCACAAUAUUAUUUACCCUACAUUCAUUACUUGGAUAUUAUAAUAUUCAUCAUAUCCCACCUUAACAUUGGCAUUUGCACGCGCAUUGCUAACUAUAUACUAAAUAUAAUCACUGCAACCGACGAUAUUUCCUUUACUUCUCUGCAUCUUGUACUUAUUUUUAUGCAAUUUUCAGUACAUACCCCUACAUUUAUUUCACACAAUUUUCUCCAUCACAAGCCUUGCACACAAGCUUCAGCAAUUCUUAUUUCAUGUAAAUUCUACUUCUACUGUUUGUCUCCGCUAUUUGUAUUAAUACGUCCUAUGCAUGCAUAAGGCAAUAAUUUUAGGGUUUCACGGUAACCAAUUGUAUUUGUUGGUGUGACAGGGUAUUCGAUUGGUUGUUAAUCCUUACUUAUCUUCGGGUUCGGUUACUUGUGCGAAUCGUAUUUUUAAUUCGUUGUAACACCAUGACGUACAUAAUUUGUCUUCUCAUAUACAAUGAUUUAAUAUUUCACCUUCACGACAAAUCUCUUAGGGAUAUGAUAAAUCGUUCCACCACAUUACCUGCUCAUUAAUUGGUAACAUGCACUUCCUCCAUGAUUGCGGGUCUAUUAAUAUUUCAUUCACCCUAUGCAUUUCAACAUUCAAUUCCACGUGAAUUAUUUACAUAUGCAUGUACGAGCUCUUCCUUUGAUAUAAGUAAGUUAGUUGCAUUGUCAUUCAUACUUGACUUCUCAUUUAAAGGUUUCCUUUUCUCAUGUUGCAGCCCUGUAGCGGUGACUCUAGAGGGACAUGGCCUUUUGAUACCUAUGGUGUGCUGUGUCCUCCACAAUUGUCGCCAUCAAACGAACUCCACCAGCCACGAAACUUAUCCAUAUUUUGUCUGCUCCUAUAUUUAGUUAUUGCAAACUUUCAUCCACUAUAACUGUAUUUUGCUAUCAAUUAAUAGAUGUUAUUAACAUCCUACAACAUUGUGCAAGUUUCACGAUAAUGUGUUUCCAACUUAUGUACUUUACCUCUUAUGUCGACAUUGCAGCUUAUAUUUUGUUCUCCUCCUGCUAGCACCUGCAAUACAAUUAUUUUCUCCAUAUUUCAAAUUUGUUCCUUCUAUUUUCAAUAUCCCUGAUCCAUUUCUCCCUUUCCUUUGUGUUUGUGGCAUUAUUUUCUUUAUUUCAAUUAUGCUCACUUCUAGUUUUAAUCUUGCUCAACUUUGCUGUUAACUUACUGGCUUCAACUUGACCAUAUUGCUUCCAUUCUACCAUAGGUUAUUCUUUAAUCAAAUAAUCUAUUUUACUGAUGUUGGUCGUUUCCUCCUCUGCGUCUUAACUGACUACUCCAUUUUCUUCAUAGUUAUGUUUAUUUUUAAUUAAUUCAUUACUACUAUAAUUAACAUCAGUUAAUCUCAUUAUUUCUUCCUUGCUGUAGUCUUACUUUCACAUGGCUUCGGUCACAAUUGACAUUAUUAAAAAAGGGGUAAUUUUUUAAUCGUCUUUUUAUAUAUGCUUGCUACUACAAAUACUUCUUCCCUCAAACGAUUUUUUGUUAUAUACACCAACUUUUCUUCUUUCCUUUAACGCAUUUAUUGCAACAUUAAUAGUUCAUUUCAUCAUUUAUAUUGACUGCCUCUCCCGAUUUCUUUAAUCUGCUGCGUGCCAACUCCUUACACGUCCGAUUUUUCUCUUUUUCAUCCAACGGCUAGGUCACUACCUGACAAAGCAAGGGGGUUCCGUGCCCAAGGGGGUUCCGUGAUAAUCAUAUGGGUCCUACCACCUAUGACAACUAUUUACAUUAUUUUGAAAGGUUGUAAGUUACAGUAGUUGUAACUUAGUAGCACCCAAGACAUAAUAUAAUCAAUUAAUACAUAUAUGACAUGUGUAUUUAAAUUUUAUAUAACCACUAAUUACUUGUCGGUUCUUCAAAAUAAAUACACUUAAUUAUUUACUUAUUGCAUAGAUGAUAUGGUACUUUAGAGGUAUUCUAAAAUAUCUCUUAUGCCCUUCUGUUCAUUUUCAACUACUAGUCAAUGAAGUGGCAUUUUACAUGCUGAUAUGGUGCCUCGCAAAAACUCUUCUGUUUCGAGAUUGAUGAUCCCAUGGAAAUGGUACAAGUAUCUCUUCUAAUGGUAUUUUACAGGUUGUUGAUGAAAAGUUGCAUGUGUUUUAGAAGACUAAUGGUAUUUGCAUUUUACUUGCAAAUUCUAGUAAAAUCGGCUAUACAUGGAUUCUCUUUGGAUGAAUUUGGAUGAAAGCUCGUUUAAUUCCUCUAUUUUUAGGUUAGUAUCUUUUUAGUCACUAUAUAUUUAGAAAUACCUCAAAACAUCUCUAUUGUUAAAUUAUUGACACUCCUGCCGUUACUUUUUGUUCUUUUUAGCUUGCUUUUACAUAUUACUCUCUCGCAAUAAUGUUUAUUUUUUGGACAUUAAUAAAAAUAAAUAAAUUAUCAAUUUAAUCCCAAAAUAUUAAUGUAGAACAUUCUGCUGAGAAGUUAAUAUAUUUAUGUUUUUAUUAAUGUCCAAAAAAGUUUGUAAUUUAAUUUAUUUUACAAUAUUACUUUUUUUUACAUAUGUGAGCUUUUAGAAAAAUUAGUGUAUAUAUGUGUGUGUGUGUGUGUCAUUUUUAGGUUUAAAUUGAUAAUUUAUUUAUUUUUUAUUAAUGUCCAAAGAAAUUAUUGUAAAAGGGUAAUAUUAUAGAAGUUAAAAAGAAUAAAAAAUAAAAAGGCAGAUGUGUCAAUAGUUUAACUGGUAGUGUCGUUGAGGUGCACUAAAUUUAAAACCUUACCACUAAUAUAAAUAAUUAGUACAGAGCGAGUAAGGAUCGAUCCCACAGAGACUAUGCUAGUUGUAUUUAUUAUCAACUCUAAAGCAAGAUUUAAAAUAAAAUAAUAGUAGUAAUAAUAAUAGUAAUAAUAAUAUAAAUUAAUCUAACUAAAGAAAAUGCCAAUUAUAAAUAAAAGGGGGGAUUUAUGAAUUUUUAACUAAAUAGUAAGAAAUAAAAAAACUAAAAUUACGAACAAAAAUUUAAUAAAAACUCUAAUUAAAGGAGAAAGAAAUAAUAAUGAUAAAAACUUUAGUUAAAGGAUAAUUCGCCACCACCCAAGACAAGAAUAAACCAUGAACAUUAAUUAUAGAAGAACAUAAACAAUCUAAAUUAAAUAAAUUGAAUGAUAGAAAUUAAAAAUUAAUCAUGUGACAUAUUCGGGGUUUUGAAUUCACCCUCAACCAAAUAAAAAUCUAGCCUAACACAAUUGAAUUGGGAAUAAGAUAAUUGACAAAACCAAUCAUGGAGAUUAAUUCAAGCGACUGCCUUUGCUUUAAUUUAAUUCCGACUGCUGAUUUUUUUCUUCUCCUUGCGGCUGCUGAUUUUCCUCUGCCCGAAUUGCGUCUGCCCUCUUCUCUCUCGCUCUCUGGCAGCUCUCCUUUUAUAAUGCUAGUCGACCAAAUUCUUCUCCAACAAUUCUAAAGAAAUCAUUUUUCAAUUCUAAUUGAAAUCCUUUUCCAAUUUAACGCCACCAAAAGCCAUUAAUUCCAUCUUUUGAAAGUCAAUUGCGGGCCCAUUUAAAUUGCUUUCCACUUUUGCAAUGCCAUGCACGUGCACUCCAAUUGCCAAUUGGAAAAAUUAAAUCUUUUAAUUAUUCAACAUUUCUCAAUUGGAUUAAUUGCUUUGAUUUCUUCCACUCGGUUCUAUCAAUUCUUGACUAUAUUUUUGUCUUCCAAUUUAAUCUUUAUUCCUUUUCAAUUUGAAUUUCUUCAUGCUUUGAUUUCUUCCACUCGGUUCUAUCAAUUCUUGACUAUAUUUUUGUCUUCCAAUUUAAUCUUUAUUCCUUUUCAAUUUGAAUUUCUUCAUGCCUUUUUUAUCCACAAUCUCCAAUUAAUUCCCUAUUCAAUAAAAUCAACUAAAAGAACUAGAAUAUUUAAGAUCAAAACAAGAAAAAGAUGGAGAAAUUAAUAACAAAAUAUAUGGAAAAUAUGCACUUAUCAUUAAUUGCAUGGAGUUUUGAUGUAUUCUUAAAAAUAUAAGUUACUAACCUCAAAAUAUAGGGAUUAAAAGAGUUUUUACGUAUUCUUUUCAAUACACUCUGACUUGUAUUCUGUAUGUUUCUGUUCACUGUAGGACCAUUAUAAAGAAAUAUCAACAUCGUUGAUUAUUCUAAACACAUGGAUUGGCAGGUUAGAAUUCCCUCAUGAAAAAUAUGACUACUUUUUGCGUUCUGGUUUGGGUUCAUGGUUCCUUUUCUUCAUUCUUAAUUUUUAUGACUUCCACAAUAAAUUUCGCUAGUUGAAAUAAUAUUAAAUUGUACAACAUACACACACACACACAUAUGUAUAUUGCUUAUUACUUCGGAGUACUUAGGAUAUUUUCUUGUAUGGGUUGAUCUUAACAUAAUUCUAAAGUGUUUUUAGUUACUGCAAGAAAUUGAACGAAUUAAACUAAAAAAAUAAAAGAAAUAAAUAUUAUGUAGUUUUCAUUUUGAGAUAUAUUAUAAUGAAAGGAUCAUCUACUUGUGUUAGCUUUGUUUAGUUUUAAAAAUCUCAUGUCACUUAAAGUCAUGUAUAUUAUUAGCCAUUUAUACUUUCUCUUGUUUUUAUAUUCAUAAUAAUCCUCCAAAUGCACAUUAUUGUAUUUGUCAACAUGCUUCAAGAAAAUAAGGUCAAGGCAACAUGAUUAUAACAACGUGUUAGAGUGUUCUAUUUGCAACAUGAUUAUAACAACGUGCUAGAGUGUUCUAUUUAUUUAAUGUCAAGAAAAGUAGCUGCUAAAUUCUAGAAGCAGCCCAUUUUGGACAAAGAAAAAUCAAAGAGGGCUGCAGCAUCUUUGAAGAAGUAAAAUUGGCGGCACACGGUUUUGACGUUGAAGAAGCCAAAAUGUAAGAAAAAUGGUGGUGUUGUAGCAAAUUUUGACAAGAAAAAUAAAUAAAAUAAUAGCCAAUUUUGGCUAUAAAAAGAGAGCUCCCCAUUUGGUUUUGGCAUCUAAUUUCUUUAUCUCAUUUUCUUCUUCCUUAUAGAGAGCUAAGAAUUGAGAGUAUAGAGUUUUAAUAACUCAUGUGUUUUAAUAACUCUUGUGUUAGUAGUGAUUUGAGAGUUUGAGUUUAUUGGUGUUUGGGUAGUGAGUUAAAAUAUUACAAUACUUGUAAUUGCUUUUCACUAGUAAAAUAUUUUCCUUCUAUUUUCGCCCGUGGACGUGGGCUAAAACUGAACCACAUAAUUUUUUGUGUCCUCUGUGUGUGUUUGUUCUUCAUUUUCCUCCAAUUUCAUUUUAGUUGUGCCCCUGCUUCAACCAUAGAUUUUCUAACACUAAUAUCAAAGCUACUGGUUGUAUUUUUAGAGUCGCAGUAUUAUUUCACAUAUAUAGUAUUCUCGUGAAAUGGUGGGAGCCAAUCCUAACUAAAGUAGUUCAUUGUAAAAAGUGAUGACGGUAAAAUACGAAAUUAAGAAGUUCAGCGAAAAUAAUUUCUCGUUGUAGAAAAUGAAGAUGAAGGUUGUAUUGAGGAAAACUAAUUACUUGGCAGCAAUUAGAGAAAGACCCACGAAUAUAACUGAUGACAAGUGGAAUGAGAUGGACGGCAAUGUAAUUGCUUAUCUACACCUGGCACUUGCAGAUGGGAUGUUAUCUAGUAUGGCAGAGAAAAAGAUAGCUAAGGAAAGAUGGGAUACUCUUACAAAAUUGUACGAGGUCAAGUCACUGCACAACAUGAUCUUCUUAAAGUAGAGAUUUUAUCCUCUUCGAGUAGCGGAAUCUACAUCGGUGACCAACCAUAUCAACACAUUGAAGACUCUAUUUUCACAUAUCAACUCAUCAUUAAUCUGACAAACAACAACCAAGCAGACAGUCUAGCUUUCGAUGAUGUUGCAACCUCCAUAUUAAAUGAGAGCAGGCGGAAAAAUAAGGAAGAUAGGCAAGCAAGUUCGCAACAAGCAGAAGUACUAUCGGUGACAAGAGAGAGACCAACGGAACGUGGUCCCAAUGGGAGUUACAAUCAUGGUAGAUCAAAAUCAAGAAGUAAGAAUAAUGUCAAAUGCUACAAUUGUGGUAAGAAAGGGCAUGUCAAAAAAGAUUAUUGGAACAACCAGAAGAGAUGAGAGGGUAUAGUUCUUGUAUCAUCAAAUGCUCAGGGAUGUGUAGUAAGUACCUUAAAUGAUGGCGAAAUUCUCUACAGCAAGGCAACAACUAUUUCAAAAGACAGAAAACAACUAUAUAAUGUCUGGCUUAUAGAAUUGGGAGCUACCUAACAUAUGAACUCUUGGAGAGAGUUGUUCCACUGUUAAAAUAAAAAUGUUUGAUGGUACAGUUCGCGCAAUUAAGGAUGUACGACACGUCAAUGGCCUAAAUCAAAAUCUAUUAUCCUUAGUACAAAUAGAUAGUCAUGGGUACAAAACUCAUGUGGAAAAUAUGAUCAUGAAGAUAGUUAAGGGCGCACUUGUAUUAAUGAAGGCAGAAAUGAUUGGUGUUAAUUUAUUCAUGCUUAAAGGAAAAACACUACAGAAAGUUGAUGCGUGUGUCGCAUCAAAUGGAGAAGAGUGACGAUGAUGUGACAUUUCAAGCCUAGCCAAAUGUCAGAAUAAGGUUUGAAGAUUUUCUCUGAGCAAAAAUUGCUUCCAGGUCUCAAAUUGGUAAACUUACCAUUUUGGGAGCAUUGUGUUAGAAAUAAGCAGCAUAAAUUGAAGUUAAGCAGAUCUGUUGCUAGAAGUAAAUGUAUUCUAGACUUGGUUCAUUAUGAUAUUUAGGAAUCACCAGAUAUGUCCAUGGGAGGUGCAAAGUACUUGUUGACUUUUAUUGAUGAUUAUUUCAAGAGAUGUUGGGUGUAUGUAAUCAAGAAAACAUCAGAUGUGUUUCUGGUAUUCAAAUGGUACAAAGCGCUGGUAGAACUUGAAUUCAAAAAGAGGAUAAAGUGCUUGAUGACAAAUAACGGUGGAGCGUAUACAAAUGACAAGUUUAUUGCAUAAAAUAAGCAAAAAGAUUUUCAGAAGCAGUUCACAGUGGCAUACACUUCCCAACAUAAUAGUGGCAGAGCGGAUGAACAAACUUUUAUAGAAAUAAUAAGAGAUAUGUUGAGGACUGUUGGUCUACCCAACUUAUUUUGGGCAGAAGCAGCCAAAACUGUUUGUUAUAUAGUAAAUUGGUCGACAUCCACAGCAAUUAGGUUAAAGACAUUGAUGGAGAUGUGGACAAGAAAGCUAGUUGAUUACUCUCACCUACAUAUAUUUGAAUGUCCUGUGUACGUGAUGUACAAUGCCCAAGAAAAAAUAAAGUUGGAUCUAAAAUUUAUAUGGUGUAUCUUCUUGGGGUAUGCUAAUGGAGUAAAUUGUAUUAUCUGUAGGACCCCACUGCCCACAAGAUAGUCAUCAGCAGAGAUGUUAUCUUUAUAGAUGAUCAACUACAAAGAGAGAUAAGGAUGAUAGCACUGUAAAAGAAAAGUCAAAGACUGUGCUGGUAUAUGUUGAAAAUAAUCUGGAAAAAAAGAUUCAGAUUCUUCUGAAGCAACACCAAAGCACGAUAAACAAUAACCAGUUGAGUCCGAGGCUCGAGAAGUUCGUUAGUUAACUCGUGAGAGACGAUCGCCAAUGUGGCACUUAAAUUAUGUCACAAAGAUCAAUGUUGCAUGCCGUCUUCUGAUAGAGGAUAGAGAACCAUAAACUUUCUAUGAAACUUUAAGUAACUCAGAUUUUGCUUUGUGGAUGACAGUAAUGGAGGAAGAAAUUGAGGCUCUACACAAGAAUAAAACAUGGCAACUUGUACUACUACCAUUUGGAACAAAAACCAUUGGAAAUAAAUGGGUCUACAAGGUCAAGCGUGAUGACAAUGAAUAAAUGGAGCGGUAUUGUAAAAGAUUGGUCGUAAAAGAAAAUGCUCAUAAAGAAGGAAUUGACUUCAACGAGAUAUUUUCUCCGGUGGUUCAACUCACAACAGUCAGAUUAAUCUUGGUGAUGUGUGCUACAUUUGACCUAUAUCUAAAGCAGUUAGAUGUGAAAACUGCAUUUCUUCAUGGAGAACUUGAAAAAGAAAUUUAUAUGCUCCAACCCGAAGGUUUUGCUGAAAAGGGCGAAGAGAACUUGGUUUUCAGGUUGAAAAUUUUUCUAUACGGUCUCAAACAAGUGCCAAGGUGUUGGUAUAAGAGAUUUAAUUCCUUUAUCAUGAGCUUGGAUACAACAGACUUAGUUCAAACCAUUGUGCAUAUUACAAGAGGUUUGAAGAUAAUGAUUUCAUCAUUUUGCUAUUGUACGUAGAUGACAUGUUGGUAACAGGCCCCAACAAAGAUCAAGUCUAAGAAUUAAAAGCACAGUUGGCUAGGGAGUUUGAAAUGAAGGACCAGCAAAUAAGAUUCUAGGGAUGCAAAUUUACCGAGACAGAAAUAAUAAGAAGAUUUGGCUUUCUCAGAAGAAUUACUUGAGAAAAUCUUGCGGCACUUCAACAUACAAGAUUGUAAGCCAAUUUAUACCCCACUUCCUAUUACUUUCAAGUUAUCCUCAAAUAUAUGUCCAAGCAAUGAAGCAGAGAGUAAGGAAAUGUCUCGAGUACCAUAUGCAUCAGCAAUGGAAAGUUUAAUGUUCGCUAUGAUAUGUACAAGAAUGGACAUUGCACAAGCAAUAAAAGUAGUUAGUCGACACAUGGAGAAUGCUAGUGGAGAACAUUGGAAAAUUAUGAAGAGGAUUUUGAGAUAUAUCAGAGGAACCUCAGAUGUUGCAUUAUGUUACGGAGGAUCAGAGUUUAUUGUCAGGGGCUAAAUGAAUUCAGAUUUUACAAAAGACCUUGAUAAAAGGAAAUCCACUACUGGCUAUGUGUUUACACUUGCAGAAGGAGCUAUAAGUUGGGUUUCAAAACUACAGACCGUUGCGGUUUUAUCUACAACAGAAGUAGAAUACAUGGCAGCUACACAAGCUUGCAAGGAAACUAUUUGGAUACAAAGAUUAUUGGAGGAGCUCGGACACAAAUAAGAAAUUUUUUUUGUAUUUUGUGACAGUUAGAGUGCCUUGCAAAUUGCAAGAAAUCCAGCCUUUCAUUUCAGGACAAAGCACAAGGGGUACAAUACCACUUUGUUCGAUAAGUAGUGGAAGAUGAAAGUGUGGAUUUGCAGAAAAUUCAUACUAAAGAGAACCUAGCAGAUGUUUUACCAAGCCAAUCAAUGUUGACAAGUUUGUAUGGAGUAGAUUCGCUUGUGACCUAGCAGAGACAUAAGCAAUAUGACAAUUGAAGUGGGAGAAUGUCAAGAAAAUUAGCUGCCAAAUUUUAGAAGCAGCUCAUUUUGAACAAAGAAAAAUCAAAGAGGGCUGCAACAUCUUUGAAGAAGUACAAUUGGUGGCACACGACUUUGACAUUGAAGAAGCUGAAAUGUAAGAAAAAUGGUAGUGCUGCAGAAAAUUUUGAGAAGAAAAAUAAAUAAAUCUUGUGUUAUUAGUGAUUUGAGAGUUUGGGGGUAUUGAGGUUUUGGGUAGUGAGUUAAAAUACCACAAUACUUGUAAUUUAUUUUCACUAGUAAAAUAUUUUUCUUCUGUCUUCGUCCAUCGAUGUAGGCUAAAAACCGAACCAUGUAAUUUUUUGUGUCCUCUAUGUGUGGUUGCUCUUUAUUUUAUUCCAAUUCAUUUUAGCUGUAGUCCUGCUUCAGCCAUCGAUUUUCUAACAUUUCAUUCAUUCAAUCUGUAAAAAUCAUUUCCAUAAAAAUCUAAUCCAUGGAUUGAUGGAUUUGAUUAGAUUAAAAUUUUUUUAAAAUCCACAGUCAAUGAAUUAGAAAUAGAUUUGCUUCUACAAAUUUAUAAAAAUCAGCAAAUUAUAUAUAUAUAUAAAAUUUAAAAAUGUUAUACUAUUAAUAAAUAAAUAGGUUAAAAUUUAGUUAGGGUGGACAUUGACAACAAUUAAUUAUGUAAGCUUUCAAUUUUCAACUUUGGUAUUGAUUUAAUUUUAAAAUUUAAGUUAGUUUUCAUUCAUUGAUCUAAAACAUCAAGAUUUUUUCUUUUGGUGGGCUAAAGUUCGAAACUUUGAAUGGCAUCCUUAAAAAACAAAUGGUUUUUCAGAAGUGGUCGUGACGUGUCAUCACGUCCCAUCUAUCCUACACGGAAGUUGAAACCAAUUACUCCAGCGUUUUCAUAAUUUUUUUAAAGAAAGAAUAGGGAGUAAAGAUGAAAUGGUAUAUGGCUUCAAAAUUAUGCUUCUUUAGGAACGUACGUUGAUUGAUUUAACAGAUGCUGGGUGAUAUAUCGCGUUCCUAAACAAGUACUUAAACUAUUGAUUUAUUUAAUCUUUUUAAAUUUGAAUUUGAUUGGUAAUAAAAUUAUUUUUGUAUUAAAAUAUUUAUUUAAUUAUUUUAUAAAUAGAUAGAAAGAAAUUUUUUUUAAUUGAUAUCGAAUUCACAAAAGUGCAAUGGGAUAUAAAUUAUGUCAAAUCCACAUCAAAUUCUUAGAGUUAUGAAUUAAAUUUGGAUUAAUUUCAUUAAUUCAUGAAUUGGGUGAGAUUGAAAAUUUAUAACGAUUUUACACCUAUUGUCAUUUAUUAGAAUUUUUUCACAACGCGCUUUUGUAGGACGUUGUGAAAUUGAAAGCCCAUUGAAGAGUUUAUAACAACAUUCUUUCGUUUGUUGUCAAAUAUUAAAAUUAUUUUACAACACACUUUCACCAACCGUUGUUAAAUGGAAGUUUUCUGAAAUUUGUACAAAUUAUCACAAUCUACCGAUACAUUAAAAUCCAUUAUCUAUUUAGACAGUAGAUACAUACAUUUGUACUAUAUAGCCCGGAAAUCUGCUCCCACUAACUUUUGAGUUGACAUCUACCUGCCCAGUCUACUUUUUGUUGAUAAUCAUUUUGUAAUUUAUUAAUUUGUUUUCCGCAAAAGUACUUUAUAACUGUAACAAAUAGAAUUUCGAUGUUAGUCCUCAACAUUAAGAUAUUGUUUGCAACUUUGUAUGCCUUUUUUUCCUUAAACUUAGUUUGUAUAUUCUUAUUUCUCCAUAAAACAAGAUUUUAAUGUAAUAAAUAGAACUUUUAUUAGUAGAAUUGAAUUUAUGAAUUUCUUGUUAUUUCUGCGUGCAUUUAUUGUGUAGUUUAUAGAAAGACUCUUUAAAAAAUUUGUAUGCAGGAAAAAAAAAGAUAAAUAAAAAAAGAUUAUACAACAUUCAUCCGAAUGUAUGGAUGAUGUAUGUGUCUUCUGGUUCAAUAUUGACCUCGUUCGCACAGUAUGAUGUACGCCCCCCCACCCAAAAAAAAAAGAAUAAAAUAUCUUUGUACUAUUAAGACUUAAAAAUUAAACGCUUUCAAAACUCAGAAAAAAUGAGUAAGAAAAAUCAAUCACAUGAGCUUCUUCUCUGCCUAUAAUAACCUCGUGUAUCACCACAAACCACAGAAUAAUUUGAGAAUCUUUGCCAAGUAUAACUGUAAGCUAGCUUACACUACAUCUGUAUAUCCAAUGUCUUCUUGCAUUAAUCCCUCAACCUUGGUUACCUCUAUAAAUGGUUUCAAAUGUCUUCCUCUUGCAACAAAUAAAGCAGCCAUCAGAAUCAUGGCCAAAAAUAAGCCAGUCCAAUGCCUUGUCAGCGCCAAAUAUGAUAAUUUGACAGUUGAUAGGAGAUCAGCAAACUACCAACCUUCAAUUUGGGACCAUGAUUUUUUGCAGUCAUUGAAUAGCAACUAUACGGUAUUCAGUAUUAUUAUUAUUAUUAUUAUUAAUUUCCUUUGUUCAUUUCAAAUUGGCACCAUGAAUAACUAAAAACUAAAUGCUGUGCAUGUACAGGAUCAAACAUACAGAAGACGAGCAGAAGAGCUGAAGGGAAAAGUGAAGACAGCGAUUAAGGAUGUAACCGAGCCUCUGGAUCAGUUGGAGCUGAUUGAUAAUUUGCAAAGACUUGGAUUGGCUUAUCAUUUUGAGCCUGAGAUUCGGAACAUAUUGCGUAAUAUCCACAACCAUAAUAAAGAUUAUAAUUGGAGAAAAGAAAAUCUGUAUGCAACCUCCCUUGAAUUCAGACUACUUAGACAACAUGGCUAUCCUGUUUCUCAAGGUACCUUUCAUUAGUUCGCUUACUUUGUCAUGCACAUGCAAGAUCCGAAUACUUGAAUCGAUCUCUCUGUUUAUCUUAUUCAUUCCUUUUAAAUGUAAAAAAGUGGACAAAACCCAAAUCAAUUUUUUAACUCUCUAUCUCCUGAGAAAUUCGAACUCGACAAGGCCGCUGGGGACACUUAAAUCAUUCUCUAAUUAACAUAUAUGUGCAAAAGUUUUGAUGAAUAUAAUUUUUUUUUUUCGGUUGAGCACUGCAGAGGUUUUCAGUGGUUUUAAAGACGACAAGGGAGGCUUCAUUUGUGAUGAUUUCAAGGGAAUACUGAGCUUGCAUGAAGCCUCGUAUUACAGCUUAGAAGGAGAAAGCAUCAUGGAGGAGGCCUGGCAAUUCACCAGUAAGCAUCUUAAAGAAANNNNNNNNNNNNNNNNNNNNNNNNNNNNNNNNNNNNNNNNNNNNNNNNNNNNNNNNNNNNNNNNNNNNNNNNNNNNNNNNNNNNNNNNNNNNNNNNNNNNNNNNNNNNNNNNNNNNNNNNNNNNNNNNNNNNNNNNNNNNNNNNNNNNNNNNNNNNNNNNNNNNNNNNNNNNNNNNNNNNNNNNNNNNNNNNNNNNNNNNNNNNNNNNNNNNNNNNNNNNNNNNNNNNNNNNNNNNNNNNNNNNNNNNNNNNNNNNNNNNNNNNNNNNNNNNNNNNNNNNNNNNNNNNNNNNNNNNNNNNNNNNNNNNNNNNNNNNNNNNNNNNNNNNNNNNNNNNNNNNNNNNNNNNNNNNNNNNNNNNNNNNNNNNNNNNNNNNNNNNNNNNNNNNNNNNNNNNNNNNNNNNNNNNNNNNNNNNNNNNNNNNNNNNNNNNNNNNNNNNNNNNNNNNNNNNNNNNNNNNNNNNNNNNNNNNNNNNNNNNNNNNNNNNNNNNNNNNNNNNNNNNNNNNNNNNNNNNNNNNNNNNNNNNNNNNNNNNNNNNNNNNNNNNNNNNNNNNNNNNNNNNNNNNNNNNNNNNNNNNNNNNNNNNNNNNNNNNNNNNNNNNNNNNNNNNNNNNNNNNNNNNNNNNNNNNNNNNNNNNAAGAUUAUAAUUGGAGAAAAGAAAAUCUGUAUGCAACCUCCCUUGAAUUCAGACUACUUAGACAACAUGGCUAUCCUGUUUCUCAAGGUACAUUUCAUUAAUUCGCUUCCUUCUUCAUGCACAUGCAUGAUCUGAAUACUUGAAUCGAUCUCUUUGUUUUUUUUUUAUUAUUUAAAUGUAAAGAAAUGGACGAAACCCAAAUCAGUUUUAUAUCUCUCUAUCUCCUGAGAAUUCGAACUCGACAAGGGCGCCGCUAGGGAUACUUCAAUCGUUCUCUAAUUAACAUAUAUGUGCAAAAGUUUUGAUGAAUAUAAUUUUUUUUUUUCGGUUGAGCACUGCAGAGGUUUUCAGUGGUUUUAAAGACGACAAGGGAGGCUUCAUUUGUGAUGAUUUCAAGGGAAUACUGAGCUUGCAUGAAGCCUCGUAUUACAGCUUAGAAGGAGAAAGCAUCAUGGAGGAGGCCUGGCAAUUCACCAGUAAGCAUCUUAAAGAAACGAUGAUCAUCAGCAACAGCAAGGAAGAGUAUGUAUUUGUAGCAGAACAAGCGAAGCGUGCGCUGGAGCUCCCUCUGCAUUGGAAAGUGCCUAUGUUAGAGGCAAGGUGGUUCAUACACGUUUAUGAGAAAAGAGAGGACAAGAACCACCUUUUACUUGAGCUCGCUAAGUUGGAGUUUAACACUUUGCAGGCAAUUUACCAGGAAGAACUUAAAGACAUUUCAGGGUAUCUAUGCCUUGAUUGCAUAACUCAUAUAUAUUCCAAAGAUUUGAUUUUAUCGAAUAGAUAACUUGUACUAUUUAAUCAUAUGUAUAUUAAAUUAUUCUCAAGUGCAGACUCCGCCUUUUACAACAGUAUAAAGGCGCCAGCCUACACUUUAUAUAAUUGUAUAUUAAAUUAUGCCAAACGUUUGCAUUAAAGAAUCUCGAACUAGAAGAUGACUCUAUAUGUAAAUGCAUUGUAAAGCCACAAGUCAUGUGCUUUAUAAAAAGAGAUGCUUGUAUCAGAGAAAUAUUCUUCAGAAUUCCAGACAGAAAGCUGAUUCUAUAUAUACAGAUAUAUAAAACAUUUGUCGUAAUAUUCGUUUUAAUUUUCCUAUGAAGGUGGUGGAAGGAUACAGCCCUUGGAGAGAAAUUGAGCUUUGCGAGGAACAGGUUGGUAGCGUCCUUCUUAUGGAGCAUGGGGAUCGCGUUUGAGCCUCAAUUCGCCUACUGCAGGAGAGUGCUCACAAUCUCGAUAGCCCUAAUUACAGUGAUUGAUGACAUUUAUGAUGUCUAUGGAACAUUGGAUGAACUUGAGAUAUUCACUGAUGCUGUUGCGAGGUUUGUUGGCAAAUUAACAAUUCAACUGCUACUUAGCUGCAUGGUACUUCUCAAUUUAAUAGACCGUUUAUGUGAUUUUUUUUUUUUUUCUGCAGGUGGGACAUCAAUUAUGCUUUGAAGCACCUUCCGGGAUAUAUGAAAAUGUGUUUUCUUGCGCUUUACAACUUUGUUAAUGAAUUUGCUUAUUACGUUCUCAAACAACAGGAUUUUGAUAUGCUUCUGAGCAUAAAAAAUGCAGUACGUGAAAUAUUAAUUUGACCUCUCUCCCUGUUCCUUUCCUCUGAUUUAUCCUUUUUAAAUUACGAUGUUCUUUUUUUCUCAAAAAUUAUAAACCGUAACUAGUUGUAUAUUUUCUGUGCCAUGUGCAUCAGUGGCUUGGCUUAAUACAAGCCUACUUGGUGGAGGCGAAAUGGUACCAUAGCAAGUACACACCGAAACUGGAAGAAUACUUGGAAAAUGGAUUGGUGUCAAUAACGGGCCCUUUAAUUAUAGCGAUUUCAUAUCUUUCUGGUACAAAUCCAAUCAUUAAGAAGGAACUGGAAUUUCUAGAAAGUAAUCCAGAUAUAGUUCACUGGUCAUCCAAGAUUUUCCGUCUGCAAGAUGAUUUGGGAACUUCAUCGGUAUGUCUUUUUUUAUUUAUUUUUUUUAAGACGACAGAAAUUGAAUUGAUCCUCUAUAUAUGAAUUGAUUGUAUUUUUUUUUUCCCCGAUAAUCAUCAGGACGAGAUACAGAGAGGGGAUGUACCGAAAUCAAUCCAGUGUUACAUGCAUGAAACUGGUGCCUCGGAGGAAGUUGCUCGUGAACACAUCAAGGAUAUGAUGAGACAGAUGUGGAAGAAGGUGAAUGCAUACACAGCGGAUAAAGACUCUCCCUUGACUCGAACAACUACUGAGUUCCUCUUGAAUCUUGUGAGAAUGUCCCAUUUUAUGUAUCUACAUGGAGAUGGGCAUGGUGUUCAAAACCAAGAGACUAUCGAUGUCGGUUUUACAUUGCUUUUUCAGCCCAUUCCCUUGGAGGACAAAGACAUGGCUUUCACAGCAUCUCCUGGCACCAAAGGCUGAUGAUGAAUUAUAAUGCACGAUGCGUUGCGAAUUCCCAGAGAGUGCAGUUUCAGUUGAUGUUGGCCUCCGCUUUUCUUUCUUCUGAGGGAUCUCUUUUCGAUAAUAAAAUAAAUUCCCUCAUUCAUCAAGGUUUAUAAAUGAAAAAGAAAUGAUAUAUACAUAUAUGUUACUUUUAUUGAGAAUAAAAGUCUUCAGGAUAUGCAAAUACUUAAGUCAGGCUCAUUCUAAUUCCUACAAGAUAAUUAUUUGCUAGCUAAAACAUGAGAACGACUGAAUUUGUUCUGCAUGCAGUUAUACUUGAUUAUUCAAGGAUGGUUCAUAGCAUUUUUAGCACAAGGGAUACUUUCAGUAUCCAUGCAUACGGCAAAUCAUACUCAUGAAAAAUGGCAAUGUGCAGCUAACAGUGACAAACGCAAUCCGCAGUCUGUUAAAUGAGGAUAGAAAUAAGAGCGGUGGCAUUUAAAGAAAAAAGUUACAAGAAUCAAAAAGUAAAAAUAACCAAUUAAAAAAAAAUGAGUUCCUAAUGUGAGGAAAGAUUGAAAUGGAGAAAAACCCUAAUCCACCUAUGGCUGACGACCGUUCCACAAAGAAAGCAGAUUUAAGGCUCAAGGGGAAGAUGGUGACAAUCCUCAGCCUCCUUCCUUUCGUGAUAAACUGAUGUCAACACAAAGGGUGGAUGAAGGAGUGUUUUUUGAUAGCGGGGAAUAUUUGGCAGUUGAACCGGAAGAUGUGGUUUUUGAGUGUGCAGACAAUUUUCACUCCAUUUCUUUCUCACAGAAAAGUACAUGCUCAACUAAUGAAACCAUGGCAAUACACGGUGGUGGUCAAGCUUUUGGGUCGUCGCAUAGGUUACCGGACGCUGUGCAACCGCUUGGAAACCAUCUGGAGCUCGACCCAAGGGUUUUCUGUAAUUGACCUUGAGAAUGAUUAUUAUCUUGUUCGUUUCAGAACAGAGAGGGAUGUGGAGUUCGCUUUGACGCAAGGCCCUUAGGCUCCGUUUGGUACAACUUAUUAAAUAGAGCUUAUAACAGUAGAGUUUAUAGCAGUAGAGCUUAUACCAAUAGAGCUUUUGGACAAAAAGUCAUUGGGUGUUUGGUUGUCAAUAAAAAAAGUACUUUUGAAUCAUUAAAUUGUGUGAUAUUUUUUAUAUUAUAUAAUUUGUGGAAAAGCUCCCUAACUUCUACUCCCAAAAUCUCAAAUUUUGGGCUUUUGCUAGUAGAGGUAAAUUAGCUUAUUUAAGCUAAAAAAACUCUACUAAAAAAAUAACCAAACACCAUAAAAAUUUUAAAAAAGUGCUUAUGCGAUUAAAUAAGCACUUAUGCCUCUUAAAUAAGCCAUACCAAAUAGGCACUUAGACUAUUCUGGGGCACUAUCUAACAGUGAAGCCAUGGACUCCCCAUUUUGAUAUUUCGGCAGCAGUGAUUGAAUAUGUUAUAGCCUGGAUCUGCUUACCAGGCAUGGCCCUACAUUACUACAAUAAGAAAAUUCUCCGAAUGUUGGGACAAAUUUUCGGGAGAGUUUUUAAAACUGAUUACAACACUGAAUCCGCAUCCAGAGACAAAUUUGGUCGUCUUGCUGUUGAAAUUGAUCCAAACAAGCCCUUAAUUUCUCAAUUUUUUCUGGAUGGCAAGCUACAAAAGGUGGAAUAUGAAGGACUCCCUAAUACUUCCUUCCUAUGUGGUAAAUAUGGCCAUAGCAAGGACAUCUGCCCUAAUCGAACGGAAGAAGAUCAUGCCUUAGGAUUCCAGCCACAUUUGGACGGAGCUAAUGAAUCUGUUGAAAUGAACUCAAACUUGGUAAACGAUUUGUCGUUUAGAGGUUUAAAAAGUCAAGUGACAUGUUGUUUCAAUUGGUCAUGGAUCCAGAACCGACAACUUCGUGCUGUCGUCCAAGAUCAUUAAACUCUCACGUGAUUAACAUAAACUUGUUUUAAAGCUUAAACGACAUGCCUUAUCGUCGUUUAAGGCAGGCUUUAAGUUGCUUGUGGUCAAGAAGUUAAGUUUGUUAGUUUUGGAGGGAAUCUUUUGGAUCUGUAACGCCAGUAGCAGCUGAUAUAUAUGUUGGUUAUGAUUUCAUCUAGAUCUAUCGAAUUGAGAGUGAUAAGGAAGCCUUAGAGAGAGUGGAACUUUUCUGAGUGUUCUCUAUAUUGGGCUUAUCAUCUCUGUAACCUUUGAAGCUUAAUAAAGUGGCUCCCUGAGUUUAUUUUCCCCGAUGAAUGUAGGCAAUGUAACAAGUGCUGAAUCACUUAAAUUGUUUUGUGUUUUUGAUUCUUUGUGUUGUUAUUCUUUGAUCUGGUGAGUGUUACGACUUGUGUUGAUUUGUUUCUUAAUCUUGGAGUCCUAACUAGAUCUAGGGGGCAAGAUCAAUUCGAUAUCAAAGGGUUUGUUUCACAACAGAAUCAUCGGUGCAGGACGUCAGGGAGGGAUAUGGGAAUUUGCCUAGGUUUGGUGGAACACCCUAAAAAUUACCCAUGAAAACACAAGGGUAAAAUUGGAAUGAAACCUCAUAUCAUUUAUUUUUAUUAAUAAAUCUCAAGAUAGACAAUCAUUAUUCAUACUCCAACUGAAUCCUUAUAUAAAACAUCUGAAAUAAAGUCUCCAAAGAAAAAUCUCUAAUCCAAAAUAAAAAGUUCAGCCAAAUUUAAUCUUUAAAGCAACUCUAAAGAUCCACUAAGAAAAAUUCUUCAUCUAAGCACCUAAGCCACAUUUCUAAUCAAAUCUGCAAAAUAUUGGAGAUGAGGAGUGAGCUGUCAACUCGGUAAGCAAAUCCAUGCACAAUAUUUGAAAACCUUUGUCAUAUAUCUUUAAACAUUUUAUAACAACAUCUUCAUUUAGCAUAAGAGGUGGAUUCAUGUAAAAGUAUUAAAAACAUUAAAACAUUCAUAAAAAAGAUUAAAACAUAAAUAUUUGGUAGCUUAUGCCUCGUAGUCAUCAUCAUUCAUCAUUCAUCAUUCGUCAGUUAGGGUGUUAUACCCCGUAUUGUUCCUCAUUCAGGGUACUAUACCCCGCAUUGUUCAUAAUAUCCUUGUGCACAAGAUCAUCACCAUACCAGCAAGCUGGCCAUAACAUUACAUAACAUCAUAACAUUUGUAUUGUAUACAUUACUACGGACUAUGAGCUAAAACAUUUUUUAAUCCACCUUACAUCCUUUCAUAAAUAGCAUUUAAAGUCUUCUAAAACAUUUAAGAACCUUUCUUUGAUCAUUUAAUUCUUUUAGAAAAUUCUUUAAGAAAACAUUUUGUUUAAGAAAACUAAUUUCUUAAGAAAAAUUUAUUUUAAAACACAUUUUUAUAAAUUCAUUUAAAAGUGUUUUUAUUUUACAAAAUUCAUUUAAAUAUUUUAGAAAUCAAUUUUUCUAAAAAUCUCCAUUUAAACAUAAUUCUUAUAACAUAAAUUGCAUUUAUUAUAAAGCACAUCAUGCGUGAAUCUACUUACCUCAAUCCGCAGCAAUCAACCCAAUACCUUAAGAACAAACCAACGAGCUCACCCACAUCCUAUAAUCAUAAUAAAAAUAUCUUUAUCAAUAUAAUCUCUAACCUUAAACAUAAUUUCAAUCAUCCUUAAUUCAUAGGCACUUAUACUAGCUCAAUACUUAUUCAUAUUCUAGACAUAAGUAUGAGUAUCUUGCACAUGCUGAUUUUUAAUAACCUAUACACAUGUCGGAAAAUCAUGAAAAUUUACAGAGGCACUGUGAACAUGCAUAACAUUGCAUACAAUAUUUCACAAAGAUCAGCACAAGUCAAAAUCAAGUCAGAAUAUUGACCUUUCACCAAAGUAACAAAAUUGUCCAGCAUUGACCAAAGCAAACCUUUACCACUUAGGAAAUUCAUAAAAUAUUCUUUAGUAAUUGAAAUAAUAUGUUUCUUUUUUUCUAAUUACAGAAGACACAUUCAGAAAGCAUAUAAUUAAAAUUCAUAAUUUUUGCAUAUAAUUAAAAUUCAUAAAAUUUGGACUCCUGAAACUAUUUUAAAAUGUUUUAUUUUCCGAGAACAUUUAACCCGUCCAGAAAAUUCCAGAUUUGAAAACAGAAUUUCAAAAAUUCGUAUCUUUUAUUUUACAUGCCCAAAAAUAGUGAUUCCAGUUUUUAAAGACAGAGGAAAGAUUGAAAUUUCAUUGUAAAAUCCUAACAUGGCAUGUAAUAUUCAUAAAUUAGCCCAACUGUUACACGUCUCAGCUUCUGCAAUUCUGGAAAACAGUUUCCAGAUUUGCAGCAGCCACAUGUUACGAUUUUUAAUAAUUUAACCAUAAAGAAAAAAACUACGAAAUUAAACAUGUAAGCAUAGGAGACAUAGAUCUGUUGAUACAAAAAUCGCCAUAAUUUUUAAGGAUGUGUAACCUUACAGAAAAAUUUCCAGAAUUGAGAACCACUGCUGAAAAUCGGAAUUUUCCAGCACCAGUAACCCAACUUCGAAAACCCAUAACAAUUUGCAUACUCAGACGAUUUCAACACAAAACCUAUCAAUGGAAAGCUUAGGAUGUCUAGUUCCAUGAUAUUUAAGCAUAUUCACGUGAUUCUAAGUGAAGAAAACAAUUUCAAGCAAGGAAUAGAGACUGUUCAUAUCAUCACAACAUUACAAAUACACAUAUAUUAUCCAAAUCAUACUACAAGUAAUUAAAGGCAAACAAUUCAUAAAAAUAAAUCAUAUAAGUCAAAGAAAUACUUAAUACCUUAAGGCAAACACUAAGAAAAGAAGUUAUAAAACUUUCUUUUCCUGCUCCAAAGACUUAUGUUUCUUUUUUUUUUUAAGGGUUUGUAAGGGUGUAAAAAAAUAAAAGACGACUUCUUAGCACAGGAGAUUGGAGACCGAUCAAAUUGGCUUGCAAUGGUACCCCUCUGACACAUUUGUUUUUUUGCUGAUGACCUAUUGUUGCUUGCUGAGGCGGCAUCUGGGCAAGCCAGGGUAAUUAACACAGUCUUUGAGAAUUUUUGUAAUAGCUCUGAGGCGAAGGUUAAUAAGACCAAAACUCAAGUAUUUUUUUCAAAGAACAUUAGUGAGAAGGAGAGGAACCGUAUUGGGAAAAUGCUUGGUUUCACUAUUACUAAAGAUCUUGGCAAGUAUCUUGGCAUGCCGCUUCUUCACUCCCGGGUUUCUAAGAGUACUUACUAAGAUAUUCUUGAUAAAAUGGAACAAAGGCUCUCUGGAUGGAAUGUUUCCCACUUAUCCUUGGCUCGCCGGAUUACGAUAGCCCAAUCUAUUUUGCAAGCUCUCCCUAUUUAUGCAAUGCAGUCAACCGACCUUCCUGCCGGGAUAAAACUGAAGAUAGACCAAGCAUGCAAGCGUUUCAUAUGGAGUGGUACUGUAACUUCUCAAAAACUAAGUAUGGUAAGUUGGAAUAAUAUUUGUCAGCAUAAAAUUAAUGGCGGUUUAGGCUUCAAAAGUCUGGAUGGGAUGAAUAAGUCCUUUCUCAUGAAGGUUGGUUGGGGUAUUCUUUCAUCUCCUUCAAGUCUAUGGUCUCAGGUUUUGUCAACUAAAUAUGGGGUGGAUUUAUCUGUCCUUCCUACUUAAUUGCCGUGUAGAAAUGGCUCCCACUUGUGGUAGUCGAUUGGGAAGGUUUGGACUGACGUUCUCUCAGGUGUUGCUUGGAAUAUAGGUGAUGGCACUAAAGUCUGAUUUUGGUUUGAUCGUUGGGUGAUAAAAGAAAAACCUCUGAUUUCUGAAGCUCUUUGUCCGAUACCCAAUGACAUAAUCUACAUUGUAGUGGCUAAUUUCAUAGAUAGUAAUAGUAGUUAGUGGUGGGAGCUGUUUCAACGUUAUCUACCUAAUAACAUUAUUCUGCAGAUAGCCUCUUGUGUUCUCCCUUUAGCUCAGUGUGGAAAUGACUGCUUUUAUUGGGUGAACUCUAAAAAUGGAGAUUUUUUCGGUUAAAUCCGCCUACCAUGCCAUUAGUUCCCAACGGUAUCAAGCGGAAGACAGAAUUUGGAACUUGGUGUGGCAUUGGCAGGGGCCCCAUAAUAUGAUCGCAGUGGUGUGGGAUAUCGUGAUGAUCGUUCUAGGAGUGUCCAGCAGACUUCUUGCCCUUUAUGUGGCAGGAAUCAUUAGAGCUAGUGUCGUGUUGGAGAUAGAGUUUGUUAUUUGUGUGGUCAGUUUGGACACAUCAGGAGAUUCUGCCCUACUUUAUCUAAGGGUGAUAGCUCUGCCGGAGGGACAGCCUCACGGUAUCGGCCUUAUUCUGGCCAGACUCAGGGUCAGAAAGGAGUUCAGAUAGGAGGUUCUACAUCUACCUUUAGGAGUCAGACGACUGCUCUAGGUCAGAGAGGUUAGCCUGGUCGACCUCAUACUCAGGCUCGAGUUUUUUCUUUGACGCAGCAGGAGGCACGUGCUGCACCAGAAGUUAUUAUAGGUAUAUUAUCUAUCCUUGGCCGCGAGGCUCAAAUUCUUGUUGAUCCUGGAUCCACACACUCUUUUAUUUCUCGUACUUUUGCUAUGCACAUAGCGCGAGAGCCCGAACUGCUAGAUUGUGGUUUAGUUGUUCGUACACCUACUGGAGAGUCAUUACUUACUGAGAGUGUUUAUCGAGAUUGUAUGAUGGAAUAGGUGAACAUGAAUUUGAGGCGAGUUUGAUUUCCUUAGACAUUCAUGACUUUGAUGCUAUUUUGGGCAUGGAUUGGCUUAAAUCUCAUUAUGCUACGGUGGAUUGUUUCAAAAAGGAAGUUGUGUUUAAAGAGUCAGGGAAAACUAAAGUGAAAUUCUGUGGAGAGCACAAAGUUCUACCUUCAUGUGUUAUAUCUUCCAUUAGUGCAAGACGAUUGCUAAGAAAAGGAUGCUCAACUUAUUCAGCUAAUGUGAUAGAUACAGAAGCUCGAGAAUUGAGAUUAGAGGAUAUUGCAGUAGUCAAAGAAUUUCCAGAUGAACUUCUUGGGAUGCCACAUAACAGGGAAGUCGAGUUUUCUAUUGAUUUAGUCCCUGGAACAUCUCCUAUAUCUAUGGCACCAUACAUGAGGGCUCUAGCAGAAUUGAAGGAACUAAAGGUUCAAUUGCAAGAGUUGGUGGAGAAAGGGUUUAUUAGACCUAGUGUGUCCCCGUGGGGAGCUCCAGUCUUGUUUGUUAAGAAAAAGGAUGGGACUUUUAUACUCUGCAUCGACUACAGGCAAUUGAAAAAAGUUACGGUACACAAUAAGUAUCCACUUCCGCAUAUUGAUGACUUGUUUGAUCAACUCCAGGAGGCGAAGGUGUUUUCUAAGAUCAAUUUGCGCUCGGGUUACCAUCAGCUUAGAAUUAAAGAUGUCGACGUUCCUAAAACAACAUUUAAAACCCGUUAUGGGCACUAUGAGUUCUUGGUGAUGCCAUUCAGAUUGACAAAUGCUCCAGCAGCCUUUAUGGAUAUCAUGAAUAAGGUAUUUCGUCCGUACUUGGAUCGGUUUGUGAUUGUAUUCAUUGAUGAUAUCUUGGUGUAUUCCUGAAGCGAGGAGGUGUAUGCAGAGCAUUUGCGGACUAUUUUGCAGACUUUGAGAGAGAAGUAAUUAUAUGCCAAGUUCAGCAAAUGCGAGUUCUGGUUGGAUAGAGUAGUAUUUUUUGGCCAUGUGAUAUCAGCAGAAGGUAUUUAUGUUGAUUCUCAAAAGAUUGAAGUAGCUGUGAAAUGGGAACGGCCUACAAAUGUCACAGAGGUUUGGAGUUUUCUUGGAUUGGCUGGUUAUUAUCGUCGAUUUGUGGAGGGAUUCUCUAAGAUUGCUACUCCUCUGACAUAGUUAACCAAAAAGAAUGCUAAGCUCCAGUCGGAUGAUAACUAUGAGAAGAGUUUUCAAGAACUUAAGACAUGUUUAACCUCAGCACCAGUUCUUACACUUUCAUCUGGUAAUGAAGGAUUUGUGGUUUAAAGUGAUACCUCUAAGGAGGGAUUGGGUUGUGUGUUGAUGCAGCAUGUGAAAGUGGUGGCUUAUGCUUCUAGACAACUUAAAAAGCAUGACCUAGAACUAGCAGCAGUGGUGUUUGCACUCAAGACAUGGAGGCAUUACUUAUAUGGGGCAACAUGUUAGAUUUUCACUAAUCAUAAAAGUCUGAAGUAUUUGUUUACUCAGAAGGAAUUGAAUUUGAGACAGAGGAGAUGGAUUGAGCUAAUUAAGGACUACGAUGCACUAUUGAUUAUCAUCUGGGCAAAGCAAAUGUGGUAGCUGAUGCACUAAGUAGAAAGUCUUCUAGCUCUAUAGUUCACUUGCAAGUGAAAUAUAUGCCUCUGCUGAUCGAGUUCAGAUCUUUGGGAGUCGAGUUAAACGCUGACGAUUGUGGAACUUUGAUAGCUAAUUUUUGAGUUAGGCCGACUUUGAUUAAUAAAGUUCACCAGAUGCAAGCUCAGGACCUAUUGUUAAUGAAGUUGAAAGAGGAUGUGCAAAAAUGUUUACGAACUGAUUUUACGGUGAGAGGCGACAAAGUCUUAGUCAUGGGUAAUAGACUCGAUGUACCUAAUAUUAAAACUAUGAAAGAAGAGAUUAUGGAAGAAGCUCACUGUUCAACAUUUGCGAUGCAUCUUGGUAGUACGAAGAUGUACCACACCCUGAGAGAUCAUUACUGGUGGCAGGGCAUGAAGAGAGAGAUAACAGAAUUUGUUUCUCGAUGUUUAGUCUGUCAGCAGAUUAAAGCUGAACACCAGAGGCCUGUAGGGUGUUAUUAGCCGCUUCCUAUUCCUUAGUGGAAGUAGGAGCACAUCACUAUGAAUUUUGUAGCAGGACUUCCACGUACUCUGAAAGGACAUGAUCGUGUUUGGGUGGUUGUUGAUCGACUUACAAAAUCUGCUCACUUCUUACCAUUCAAAAUCACCUACUCGAUGGACAAAUUGGGGAGUAUUUAUGUGGCUGAGAUAGUUUGACUUCACGGAGUACCUGUGUCCAUAGUCUCAAAUAGAGAUUCCUGGUUUACUUCUAAGUUUUGGACCAGUUUGCAAAAUACUUUAGGUACCAAGUUGAACUUCAGUACAACUUUUCAUUCACAGACUGAUGGACAGUCAGAGUGCACUAUUCAAACUCUGGAGGAUAUGUUGCGAGCUUGUGUUAUGGAGUUUAAAGGUAAUUGAGAUAAUUAUUUACUUCUGAUGGAGUUUGCUUACAACAAUAACUAUCAAGCUAGUAUCGAGAUGGCACCAUAUGAGGCUUUGUAUGGUAGAAAAUGCAGGACUCCAGUAUGUUAGGAUGAGGUUGGUGAGCGGAGGUUACUCGGUCCAGAACUUGUCCAGGAUACUAACGAGAAGAUACAAUUGAUCCGGGAUAGAUUAAAGGUGGCCCAAGAUAGACAAAAGAGCUAUGCAGACAAGCGUAGGGGGGAACUUGAAUUCCAAGUUUGUGAUAGAGUUUUCAUACGGAUAUCUCCUUGGAAAGGGGUGCUUUGAUUUGGGAAACGUGGGAAGCUAAGCCUAGGUUACAUUGGGCCAUAUGAGAUCAUUGAGCGCAUCGGUCCGUUAGUUUAUCGAUUAGCUCUACCACCCGAGUUAUCCAGAAUCCACGAUGUGUUUCACGUCUCAAUGCCCCAUAAGUACAUAUAUGACCCGAGUCAUGUGUUAUCAAAGCAACUAAUUCAGUUGAAGGAAGAUUUAACUUACGAAGAGGAACCAAUGGAGAUACUGGAAGAGAAACACCAAGUUCUACAUUCUAAGACCAUUCCUCUAGUAAAAGUACGGUGGAGGAAUCAUACAAAGGAAGAGGCUACCUGGAAACAUGAGGACUUAAUGCGAGCUCAAUAUCCCCAUAUUUUCUUAUUAGGUACAUAAAUUUCGAGGAUGAAAUUUUUAUAAGAGGGGAUGAUUGCAACAAAUGUGAAUUAAAAAUGAAUAAGUAUGAGGUGGUAAAGAAGUUAGUAAAAACAAAAGAAUAAGCUGGAAACAGAGGAAACAUAUGCACGUGUAACAGAGAGUGAGAGAGAAGGUGCCAAACCGACCCAACUACAGACCCACCUUGACCCGGCCAUAUCUCCUAUUUCCGGCCACCGUUUCGGCCGAGUUUAGUACCAAUCUGAAAACCCGCGACUGUUUCGUUUUGUUCCGCCAGGAUUUUCACCGGUUUUGGGUGACACGACCAGUUGGAUUUUGUUCCUCAUGACUCCCUCUUCCAUUUUCAACUGUCCAUAGCCACUGAAAGUCACUGUUUUGCCACUGGUCAAUUAUUGGAAUUCACGGCUAUUGAGCUAGAUUCCGGCCUCGUUGCCGUGCGUUGGAGCUCACUGCUGGUACCAUUGAACUCAACGUGAUUGGAACUUUCAGAAUUGAGCUUCCCGGCCAGCGUUGACCAAACUCCGGUGACCGUUGACCGGCAAGGGCAUUUCAGUAAUUUCACACGCCGAGGGAAAUUUUGUAAUUUCUGAGCCUAUGGAUAUUUUAGUAAUUCCUAGAAUUGAGGAUUGGGUGUAAUUACGAUUCCGAGGUUAAUUCGGUGAUUUACAAUUUCUGAGUAUUUUAAUGAUUUACGGACUCGAGGGCAUUUUAGUAAUUUUAUCGACAUGGGAGUUGUAAAUUAUGGAUAGAUGUUCGUUUCGAGUGUAUUGCAUAAAUUAUGUCGUUUCCUUGAUUUAAGAGGAUCCGCGAGCGAUAAUCAGUCCACGGACAUUGACGAUAACCAAGCGCGAACACUGCACUGUGAGUGGAAUAUGCAAAACCUAUUUUCGUAGUUAAUUAUGAUAGUAAAAUAUGUUUGCGAAAUAAGUAUUUUUAAUGUUCUGAUUUAAUGAUUUCCUCGAAAUGGAUUUUAUACAUGCAUUGAUAUUAUUUUAAAAUGUUUGGUCAAUGAUUUUCCGUGUCGACUUUGAAUGAAAUAUGAUAGUAUUUUAAAGAUGAGAAAAGUGGAUUUAGAUGUGAUAAUGAAAAGAAAUGUAUGAUUUAAAGUAUGAUUAGAAUAUACAUGAAUAUAAGUAUAGAGAUUGUUUUUAAAAUCAUUCGACAGUACCCUUCCCCUCCAGAUACAGUGAUACAGAUGAGAUAAGAUGAGAGGCCUUUAGAGUCUGUCUGAGCACACAUAGAGGCUUUGGGCUGUGUGUUUGGGUGUUUCUGCCUUUUGGGGGCAUAUGCAUACGGUAUGAUGAUUACAGAGAUACAAAUAUGAGAUACAGACAGAUAUUGAGAUACAGAUGAUAAAUAUGAGAUACAAGCCUUUGGGGCCCGUCUGAGUACACACAGAGGCUUUGGGCCGUGUGCUUGGCGCUUUUGUCCUUUAGGGACUGGAUUAUGCAUGCACAGAUAUGAUGAGUUAUGAGAUGAUACUUCCCUAUCUAUCCGUGUAGCUAAGGAGCGUGACGGUACCCAGAUACGUCAUUACCCGUCCGUUGAGGUCCGGAUAUGAUGAGAUUAUUUCCCUGGGCACUUGUUUGGUGAUGAUUUUCAUUCUUGUGUAUUCUAUAUGAUAUUGUGAUAUGAUUUCCAUGAUUAUUACUGUUGUGGAAUUUCUCAAGAUCCACUGUUGUUAAACAACCAAGCUGAGCUAUCGAACCCAAUCGAUCAAGAUCAACAUUUUUUUUACCAAGAAAGUUAACUAGCUCAUUGCAAGUAAUAACCAGAAAAGAAAGAAGAUGAACAAGAAAACAAUGCACACAGUAUAACGUGGUUCAGUACCAAAGUACCUACAUCCACGACCAAAUAAACCCUUCUGGGCUUGAAGCUUUUAUUUAACAAAGUGUUUACAAUGAGAGUAUUGAUGACAAAGAUUAAAUCUCUCCUACAGAGAAUUUUCUAUCUCUCACCCUAGCUCUCUCAAAAUCGUGACUUAACCAUCCAUCUGAUCAGCCCUGAACUAUGUAUAUAUAUAUAGCUCUAUUGUCCAACUGUUAGCAGUAACAAAUUUAACUAACCCUGGCCCCACACAAAUGCUGAGUCAGCACGCCACUUAGUCACAUAACAGAAUUAACUAAUCAAGCUUCACAAAUCUCCACCUUAGUUGAUUCUGUCCCAGCUUCACCCAGCUCUGGUUCAGAUGGUUAAUAUGCUUGACUUAUAAGCUUCUAACUCCAAUCAAGUUCAGAGAGUUUCUGAACUUGACUGUUGGUAUUGGUUUUGUCAGUGCAUCUGCUGGAUUGUCUUCAGUAGAGAUCUUUACAACAUCCACUACUCCUCUUUCAAUUUCCUCUCUUAUGAAAUGUAGCCUCAAAUCCACAUGCUUGGUCCUCUCAUGAUAUUUGGAGUUUCUGCUCAACUGAAUUGCACUUGAGCUGUCAUAAUAGAUGGGAAUUGUAUCCUGAAUCAAACCCAAUUCAGAUAUAAUCCCUCUGAUCCACUUAGCUUCUUUAAAAGCUUCAGUAAGUGCAAUGUACUCAACUUCAGUAGUUGAUAAGGCAACAACUGAUUGCAGUGAUGCUUUCCAACUUACAGCUCCUCCACACAUGGUAAAAACAAAGCCAGUAGUAGACCUUCUUUUGUCUAAGUCACCAGCAAAGUCUGAGUCCACAUAGCCAAUGACUUUACUUGUGACAUUGUUAUCUCUACUAAACAAAAUACCAGAAUCAGAUGAACUACUCAGAUACCUAAGUAUCCACUUAGCAGCACUCCAAUGCAUUUUGCCUGGGUUCCCCAUGAAUCUGCUAACUACUCAUACCCCGUAAGCAAUAUCAGGCCUAGAGCACACCAUGGCAUACAUAAUGCUUCCAACCACACUAGAGUAAGGAAUUUUCUUCAUAUGCUCAAUAUAUGCAUCAUCAGAUGGUUCUUGCUGUUUUGACAGCUUGAAGUGUGUGCCUAAAGGGGUGGAAACUGCUUUAGAGGUAACCAUGUCAAACUUGCCAAGCACCCUUUUGACAUAACCAGCUUGUGAGAGAAAUAGAGUCUUUGCAGCUCUAUCCAUUUUGACCUGCAUUCUUAGAAUCUUACUGGCAGAGCCUAGGUCCUUCAUCUCAAAUUCAGCCCUUAGCUCAGUUUUAAGCUUUUCUAUUUCUUCUAUGUGCUUGCAUGCAAUGAGCAUGUCAUCAACAUAGAGAAGCAAAUAAAUCCCAUCUCCAGAAGGUAGGAACUUGCAGUAUACACAGCUAUCAUAUUGACUUCUCAAGUAACCAUGAGCAAUCAUAAAUUGGUCAAACCUCAAAUACCACUACCUGUGGGAUUGCUUUAAACCAUAUAAGCUCUUCUUAAGCAAACACACCAUGUCUUCUGACUCCCUUUGUAUGAAGCCUUCUGGCUGUUCCAUGUAUAUCUCUUCUUCAAGAUUGCCAUGUAGGAAGGCUGUUUUGACAUCCAUUUGAUCCAGCUCCAGAUCAUGGUGGGUUGUAAUUGCAAGCAACACUCUUAUUGAGCUAUACUUGACAACUGGUGAAAAGACUUCACUAUAAUCUAUCCCUUCUCUUUGUGUGAAGCCCUUUGCCACCAGCCUAGCCUUAUAUCUAGGGUGUUCUACACUUGUAACUCCAUCUUUAAGUUUGAAAAUCCACUUACACCCAACCAGCUUCCUAUCUUCUGGUUUUCUCACCAGAAUCCAGGUGUUGUUUUUCUUCAAUGAGGAUAUUUCUUCUUCCAUUGCUGACAGCCACUUUGAUUUAUCCCUGCUGUUCAUGGCUUGCUUAUAGCUGCUGGGUUCCUCCCCAAUAACUUCUUCAGCAACAUUCAGUGCAUAUGAUAUCAAAUCUGCUAUGCCAAAUCUCUUAGGCAUUUUGAUAACCCUCCUUUCUCUGUCUCUUGCCAGCUGGUAGUUAUCCAUUUCUGAGGAUCUAGUUUUACUGUCACAAGACUUGGACUCUUCAUUAGUGUCCUUGUGAUCAUCAGUAAGCUCCACCUCCAGGUUAAGCUUAUGGUUGGCCUUUUGCUCAUAAAUUGUCAGUUUUGUUUCAACCUUUUGCUGGAGCAGGGAACCCUCAUCAAAUACAACAUCCCUGCUUACUAUAAUCCUUGAAGGUUUCCCAUCAAUGCACGAUAUUCUAUAUCCCUUAACACCUUCAGGGUAACCAAUAAAGAUACCCUUAAUUGCCCUAGGUUCCAGCUUUCCUUGGUUGAUAUGAGCAUAUGCUGGUGAGCCAAAGAUUCUCAUAUUGCUUAGAUCAGGGGGUUUUCCAUACCAAACCUCUUAUGGAGUUCUGAAGUUGAGUGCUGAUGAGGGACUUCUAUUUAUCAAGUAUGCUGCUGUGGUGACAGCUUCAGCCCAAAAAUGUUUUGAGAGGUUUGCACUAAACAACAUGCAUCUCACCUUUUCCACUAAUGUUCUAUUCACCCUCUCAGCAAGUCCAUUUUACUGGGGUGUGUGUCUAACAGUCUUGUGCCUUGCAAUUCCCUUCUCUCUGCAGAACUCAUCAAACUCUUUACUACAAUACUCCAACCCAUUAUUAGUCCUUAGUCUCUUUACUUUCCUGUCAGUUUGGUUUUCAAUUAAGGUCAACCAUUCCUUAAACUUUAGUAGAGCUUCACUCUUAUGCUUUAAGAUAUAAACCCAAACCUUCCUGGUAUAGUCAUCAAUCAAUGUCAUGAAGUACCUAGCUCCACCAUGUGAUAGCACUUGAGAUGGACCUCAUAAAUCUGAAUGUAUAUAAUCUAUUGAAUUAUUGGUUUCUUGCUUCCCAGUCCCAAACCUCUAUCGAGUUGCCUUUCCAAACACACAUUUUUCACAGAACUCAAGAGAUGAAAUCUGACCAGAACCAAUUAGACCUUGUUUGCCUAAUUCUUUCAACCCCUUUUCACUCAUGUGAGCUAAUCUCAUGUGCCAUAAUUUUGUUUUAUCUCUGCUAACAGAGGCUAUAACUCCUGGAGAGGAAGGGGAGCCUAUUAGGACAUAUAACCCAUUUCUUCUGAUUCCCUUCAUUAUAACUAUGCCAUUUUUAGUAACUUGGAGUUCACCAUUUUCUGCCUUAAUGCUACAGCUUGACUGGUCAACAGUCCCUAAGGAUAUUAGAUUCCUCCUAAGCUCUGGAACAUGUCUCAAAUUCCUUAGCUCUCUAUCUACCCCAUCAUGUAUAGUUAUGGUAACAGUUCUAAUUCCAGUAACUUUACAGGCCAGGUUAUUUCCCAAUAAAACCUUACCUGUAUCAACUUUCUCAAAAGUCUUGAAGAGUUGCUUGUUUGGGCUCAUGUGGAAGGAGCAACCUGAGUCCAAGAUCCAUUCUUCAGUGGGUUGUCUUUUUGCAGCUACGAGUACAUCUGCACCUUCUGAAUCCCCUUCAUCUUCUGAUGCAAUGGCUGCCUUCCCUGAUGAUUCUUUCUAGAUCUUUUCAAGUUUCUUCUUCUCGAAACAGUCCUUUAUAUAAUGCUCUUCCCUCUGACAGAAAUAACACUUUCUCUUCUUCUUUUUCUUGUCAGCUUUAUCCUUCUUAUUGUUACUUUUCUUUGCAUGAUUCUUCUUCUUUUCAGGUUUUGAUUUGGCUAUCAGGCGUUCACUAAGGCCCUGAUCUUUUCCCUCAGCUCUUUUCUUUAAAUCUUUUGAUUCCAGAGCAUUCUUCACAUCUUUUAACGUAAGGGUUUGUCUCUCAUACAGUAAUGUGUCAACAAAGUGCUCAUAUGAAUCUGGCAGUGAGCUUAACAAGAUAAGAGCUAUGUCUUCAUCUUCAAGAUUUACAUUAACAUUCUCAAGAUCCAGGAUUAGCUUGUUGAAUUCAUCGAGAUGGUCUUUCAUGGCUGUUCCCUCCUUCAUUGAGAAUGUAUACAACUUCCUUUUCAUAUAGAGUCUCUUGGCCAAAGACUUCUUCAAGAAUAGUUCUUCAAGUUUCGAUCAGAGGCUAGAUGCAGAUUUUUCUUUAGCAACCUCUCUCAGCACUUCAUCUGACAGAUGCAAGAUUAUGGUGCUGUGAGCUUUGUUGUUAAUGGACCUUAUGUCUCCACCCAAGCUUGAGGAGCCUUCUGAUUUCUCUUUCUUGCCAAUUUGAUCUUCUUUAUUUUCAAUAGCACUGUCAAGCCCCCGUUGGAUCAAGAUUGCAUGCAUCUUGAGACUCCAUAGAUAGAAGUCAUUUUCUCCGUUGAAUUUUUCUACAUCGAAUCUUGUACUAGCCAUUUUCGAACAAGAACUGAGAGCUUUUAGAGCUCUGAUACCAGUUUGUUGUGGAAUUUCUCAAGAUCCACUGUUGUUAAACAACCAAGCUGAGCUAUUGAACCCAAUCAAUCAAGAUCAACCUUUCUUUUACCAAGAAAGUUAACCAGCUCAAUGCAAGUAAUAACUAGAAAAGAAAGAAGAUGAACAAGAAAACAAUGCACACAGUAUAACGUGGUUCAGUACCAAAGUACCUACAUCCACGACCAAAUAAACCCCUCUGGGCUUGAAGCUUUUAUUUAACAAAGUGUUUACAAUGAGAGUAUUGAUGACAAAGAUUAAAUCUCUUCUAUAGAGAAUUUUCUAUCUCUCACCCUAGCUCUCUCAAAAUCGUGACUUAACCAUCCAUCUGAUCAGCCCUGAACUAUGUAUAUAUAUAUAGCUCUGUUGUCCAGCUGUUAGCAGUAACAAAUUUAACUAACCCUGGCCCCACACAAAUGCUGAGUCAGCACGCCACUUAGUCACAUAACAGAAUUAACUAAUCAAGCUUCACAAUUACGUAUGAUCAUUAUAUAUGCUUUUCAUGGUUAGUAAUAUGAUUUAAAUGUUAAAUGAUUUAUUACUAGUUUCUCGCAUAUGGUUUGAUGAAAUCGUGUUUGGAAAUGAUAUGAUUAUUUCUUUUAAAGUAAGAAUUAAUUUUAAAAAACUACUAUCCACUCAUUGAUCUCAUUGAGUUUUAAACUCACCCCAUUUUUAUUAUAUUUUUCCCCUCACUAGGAGGUCGCAGGUACAUCAGACUGACCCAGCGACUGUAAAUAUAUUUUGAGUCUUGGCCACGUGAUGGUGUUAGAGGAUAUAGAUGUUUUUUAUAGGACAUCUCAGUUAUCUUGUUCUUUUGGGAUUGUAUAAUUUUAUUAUAUUAUUCUUUUGGAGAUUAAGAAUAAACUGAGAUAUCAAUAUUAGUUAUAAUAUUAUCUUUUGAGAUUCUUGAGAUAUAAAAUUCAGCAUUUUGGUUGAGGGUAUUGAUCACUGGAGUUUGUUGUAUAUUGAAUUAUAUUGGGAGUGUUAUAUUCAUAGUUGUAGAUUAGGAGUGAUAUAUAUAUAAAGGAGACUCUGCCAAAUUUUUGACAAAAUCCUUACUAAUUAGAUUAUUAUCAAGUCCGUUUUGAUGAGACUAGAGUGACUAGCCCGAGGGAUUCGGGGCGGGUCGUUUCAUUUAUCUUCAUCGUUUCCAACAACAACAGUCAGCAACUCGGCUUCUGCAACAGCAACAGCGAGAGUCGUUGUCAAAGAACAAAUUCACACUGAACCAGCACAAAAAUCACCACCGGCAGCCACAGCUGCUGCUCGAGGAAAGCACCAAUCCAGUUCCUAGUUGGCAAGAAAAUAUGCCAUUCUUGAAGUUCAACAAUCAUCUGACCUCACUUCCUCUCUCGAGAGGUCUUGUUUUGUCAUUUCGAUGGAUACCUAUUUGUUGUUUCUUUUAUUUUUUUGGUUGAGUGUUGACCCUUGAUGAUUAUCUCAACUGGGUUUCUAUUUUUUUCAACUAAUUUAGUGACAAAGUUAGGACUUUUCUUUUUUUUUCUGAAUUUGUUUUCUGAGGUGUGUCGAUUUUGAUUAUACUUGACAUUGAGUUGCUGCGACUUCUAAUCCACAAUUAGUGUCGAAUAGAAAGAAUCAUUGGGUGGAUAGUUGAUAAAUAGUAAUUUCCCAUCAAUAAGUAAAAAGGUGAAUGUAUAUCAAACAGUUUAGUUGCAGUACUUUCCUAGUCGAAUAGAGCAGGACUAUUGCUGACUUACCCUUCAUUUUCUUAUAUGUAUGUUGUAUUUUGCAAAUUUGUUUUUGGAUGCUGACACUAUUGCAAUUUACAUGCUGACUUCGCUUUGGUUAGAAAACCUUGAUUCCUUUGCAAUGUUCAAUGCCAUUUAGUUUUGAGCCUAAAGUGAUUAGUAUGUUGUUUAUAAUGUUCUAUAUUAAUCGAAACAUGAGAGUUACAGUGUUAAUUUUGGAGGUCAACAAUGACUUUCCAAUGAACAAGUUGGCUAGCAGUCACAUUGCAUAAGCACUAUAGUAUAGUUUGAAUAAGAAGAAUAAAAUAAUCGUAAUUUCAUUGAGUACCUCUCUUUUCUUGACUGCAUUCCUCGUUGGAAAAGUUUGUUAGAUGGAAAUUCUGGUUGUCUUUUAGACUUAAGUUUUAGUGACAAUACAUUUGGUGAAAAUAUUUUUACUUCAUGACAUCAUCUUGAAGUUUUGUUGUUAUGGAGACAAAUAUGUAGCUCAAUUAGCUUGGCAUUAUAAGAUAAAUGUACUUCUUUGCAGAUUAGAAGGGAUAUUAAAGGUGCCAGACUUGAAUGCUAUUUUGCGACAUUUUGGGGAUCUUGGCCGAGGGCAGGAUGUUUUGGAGGUCCUACUACUUUCCUUUUGUUUUGUUUAUCUUUUGUGCACGCCAUUGAUAUUUUUGAUGGUAAAACCUGUUGAGUUUAUUUGUUUACAUUUCUUUAUUCAAAUGCAUGUUCAAUUCCUGAUUUAUUAUUAGUUGGGUUUGCUUACUGAUUAAAUAUCAAUUUUUUGGUCCUGUGUAUGUACCUUUUUUAAUGAUCAUUUUGUACCCAAUUAAGUGUUCUUUCUUAAAUGGAGAUCCCAUUUUGGUAAAACAAAAGUUGUUUCUGUUUUUUAUACAAAUCUCUGCCUUAUGAUUCAAAAAAAUGUAGACACUCCAAGAGAAAUAAGGUUAGCUGAAUAUGGGUGGGAGGAUUAUCUAUAUCCUUCUUCAAUAUUUGUUCAUUACACUUUCCUGAGUGAGCUUUCGCUGGAGAAUCCUCAUUUUUAUAGAUUCUAUAUUUGUUAAUUGCUUGAUUGCAAAAAGUUAUUCUGUAUUAGUAUACAAAAACUACUUUAUGCAUUUGUUUUUGUUUUUAUUAUUAACUUGUUCAAAUUAUGGUUUUGAAAUUAGCCUAUUUCAUUUCAGCUAUAGGGAAGAUCAUUCUCAAAACAGUAAUUGAUUUGCAAUUUAUCAUAAAUAUCAUUCUGAUAAUUUAGUAUGGCUUGUUACGACGGCAUCAACCCAAUUUAUGGCUUGCUACCACAUGAAGUAUCCCAAAAUGCUUCUAUUCUCUUUCCGUCCUAUGUGAACAAUGGUUUACUGAUGCUAAUAAGUACUAUUUUUUUAAUACUUUGUGCUUGGUGUUUCUGCAGCUCUUUGAGUGGAUGCAACAACAUGGCAAGACUAGUAUUUCUUCUUAUAGCAGUUAUAUCAAGUUCCUUGGGAAAAACGGCAAUUCCCUUAAGGCUCUAGAAAUCUACAAUAGCAUUACAGAUGAAUCGGACAAAGUUAAUGUCUUUAUAUGUAAUUUGAUUCUCAGUUGUCUAGUCAGGAAUGGAAAGUUUGAGAGCAGCCUCAAACUGUUUGAUAAAAUAAAGCAGAGUGGUCUGACACCAGAUGCUGUUACUUAUAAUACGGUAUACCAAUCUGAUCACAUUACAUGGAUUUGAGGAUGUUAAAUGUUUGUUCGAAGUUGAGUUCAGUCAGGCAAAUGAUUAUAAAAUUCUGCCUUUUGUAUGACACUCGGUGUUGUAGUUGACAUGUAAGUUGCACAGUCUUUGAGUGACAGCUUUGUUGAACAACGGGUUUGACACAAGUGAAAGAGUCAACUUUUAUAUGCAUGUAAUAUUCUUUUUCUUUUCUAUGGUUACAUAAUCCAUAUUGUGAAUCUGAUUUGCUAUUUUAUUUUUGAAAGUUCUUCUAAAGUGUGAAUAAGCCAGAGAAAGACAGAAUAAAUGGAUUUGACAUAGAUUUAGAAGAAAUAAAUGUGCUGCCGUGGAAUAGCAUCAAGCUUUGUUGGAAUGAAGUGCCAAGAUCAUUUUCUAACAAAAUGCCAGAGUCUUUUUAACUGUUCUUCAUUACAUUUUUCUUUUGUCUUCCAUAGCUGCUUACAGGUUGCAUUAAGGAUAAAAAUGGCUAUUCUAAAGCAUUAGAGCUGGUUCAGGAACUUAAGUAUAAUGGAGCGCAGAUGGAUGGCGUGAUGUAUGGGAUACUUUUGGCUAUUUGUGCUUCAAAUAAUCUAUGUGCCGAAGCUCAGAGCUAUUUUAACCAGAUGAAAGUUAAAGGCCAUCCUCCUAACGUAUAUCACUAUAGCUCUUUGCUUAAUGCUUACUCCUCUGGUGGAGACUACACGAAGGCCGAUGAAUUAAUUCAGGAUAUGAAAUCUUCAGGGUUAGUACCGAAUAAGGUUUGUUUCAUGUUUAUAUGGCCAUUCUAGUUUCAGGAGUUACUAGGCAUUACUUAACAAUUGAGUUUUGCUCAUCUUGAAAUAGGAAAGAUUGAAAAUCGAUGUAUACAUGUGAAUUUGGUAGAAUAGAGAAUUUGUACUGAAUUUCAAAUGACAAAAGAACACAGUUAUGAUACAUAGUUAUCAUGGUGAAUUGAGGCUUAUCGAACCGUAUUCUGUCUAUGCUUUCAAAAUCAAGUGUAAUUGUUUUGGUGCAGCAAAAAUGUAUUAGUAUUAUGGUACAUGGAUGCUAUCCUGAUUAGGGGAUUUCAGUGAUUAGUUGGUUUGUUUGGCCUUUUUCAGUGGAAGCAAGAAGUUAAGGGAACAAGUCUAAAGGGAUACUUCAUAUUUGGGUUGAAACGGAACUAUAAAAGAAUAAAAACGCAUCAUGGGGGUUUGGAUUUCAUGCUAUAAGAGAUUAUUGUAAAGGAAUGAAUUGGUGCUUUUCAAUAUAUGCCAAAUCUAUUUUCAUGGGUAUCUAGGUCAAAAUAGCGCAUAAAGUAGUGAGUUUCUUGUUAUCUCUUUUCUUUUUGUUCUGUGCAUUUUCAAUAAUUUGCUUUGUAAACACGUGUGUUGGCAAUUGUGUGCUUUUCUUAUGUUUUCUUUUUUAGGGUAAAUCAUUCUUUUUGCAGGUAAUACUGACAACAUUGCUGAAGGUAUACGUCAGAGGAGGUUUGUUUGAAAAAUCAAGGGAACUAUUAGCUGAACUGGACACUUUAGGCUAUGCUGAAAAUGAGGUACAUUGAUGAAUUUUUACCUUUCAUAUGUAUGUUGAAAUAUCAAUCUUGUUGAAGAUAUGAUAUGUAGUUUUAAUAUUGUGUUUCAGAGUAGAAUGUGUUAUUUAUUACCUUUAGGAUCAUAGCAGAUCUGACACCGGACACAAUAGAUGGGAAAACACAAUGUCACACACCCAAGAAAUAACAAGCUCAAAACCACAGCAAAAAAUUCACCACCUAAAGUUGUUAAGCUAAGGAUACAGGGCUUAAAAUACUCACCACUCAAUGGAAUCCACCAAAGUGAUACAGAGUUUGAUAAUAACUCAAAGUUCAUCCAAUCCCCAAAAUUAAUCUCUAUCCUUUGGUUACAACUACAUAAGCUUAAAUAACUUUCUUGGAACAAUCCUCCAAGCAUAGAUAUACUACAAAGAAACCCUCCAAAUGACUUGACUUCAAAGACCAACAUUAAAGCUAGACAUUAAUAGAACAUUGGUAUGCUUAAAACACAGCAAAGAGCAUUAAAAAAAGUCCAAGUCCAGAAAUAUUCUUCUUGACUCAAAACUGAACAGCCUGCACUUAACUGAUCAUAACUUACUGUACAAAGCUCGAAAUUUGUAUUAGUAAAAUUCAUUGGAAAGCUAACAGAAAUAUAUUUCCAAUGAUGUAUGACUGGAAAAUUAGUUCAAUCUCAUGCAGUACAGUUUAAUUCCCAAAGAUGCCCCUUCUGCACAGAAAUUCUGCUCACUUGAUUAAUAAGAACUUGAACUGCACUUGGUAUAACUUGAAUACCAAAUAUUUCAAACACCCCUGUGUUAAUCUCCCCUAGUUGAAAAAAAUUCAACCUCGAGUUUUGAUCAUUUUCUUCAUGAUAAGGAGACAAGUCUGAUAUGUUGAAUGUUGAUGAAACACCAUAGCCAUCUGGUAGCUCAAUCUUGUACGCAUUAUCACCAAUGCGUUGCAACACUUUAAAAGGUCAUUCAGCCCUUGGUCUAAGCUUAGCAUACUUCCUAGGUGGAAAACGAUCUUUUCUAAAAUGAACCCAAACCAAAUUUCCUUCCUGAAACUUAGCAUUUCUUCGAUGCUUGUCUACAGAUUUUUUAUACUUCUCAUUUUGCUUCAAUAUUCUAUCUCGAACCUGUUCAUGCAUCUUCUCGAUACUUUUAGAGCGUUCUUCAGCCUCUCCACUAAAUUGAUGAUCAGUCAAAAAGUGGAGCCAAAUCCAAAGGACUAAUUGGAUUCUUGCCAUAAACUACUUCAAAGGGACUUGAACCAGUAGUUUGAUGUAUGGAGUGAUUGUAAACAAAUUCAAUCUAAGGCAAAAUAAGAUGCCAUUGACGAAUGUUCUUGCCCACAUAACUUCUCAAGAGAUUUCCCAAGCUUCGAUUCGUCACUUCAGUCUGAUCGUCAGUUUGAGGAUGAUGAGAAGAGCUGAAUUUAAGAGUGGUUCCCAACUUCUUCCAAAGAGUGUGCCAAAAGUGACUCAAAAACUUUGAAUCCCGAUCAGAGACAAUGGUUUUUAGAAUUCCAUGUAGCUUCACAAUCUCCUUGAAGUACAAAUCAGCCACAUAAGAGGCAUCCAAUGUCUUGUUACAUAGAACAAAAUGAGCCAUUUUUUAGAAUUGAUCAACCACCACCAUGAUAGAGUCUUUGUUUCUUUGAGUUCUUGGCAACCCAACAACAAAGUCUAGACUAACAUCUUCCUAGAUAAGCUUAAAUAACUUUCUUGGAACAAUCCUCCAAGCAUAGAUAUACUACAAAGAAACCCUCCAAAUGACUUGACUUCAAAGACCAACAUUAAAGCUAGACAUUAAUAGAACAUUGGUAUGCUUAAAACACAGCAAAGAGCAUUAAAAAAAGUCCAAGUCCAGAAAUAUUCUUCUUGACUCAAAACUGAACAGCCUGCACUUAACUGAUCAUAACUUACUGUACAAAGCUCGAAAUUUGUAUUAGUAAAAUUCAUUGGAAAGCUAACAGAAAUAUAUUUCCAAUGAUGUAUGACUGGAAAAUUAGUUCAAUCUCAUGCAGUACAGUUUAAUUCCCAAAGAUGCCCCUUCUGCACGGAAAUUCUACUCACUUGAUUAAUGUAAGAACUUGAACUGCACUUGGUAUAACUUGAAUACCAAAUAUUUCAAACACCCCUGUGUUAAUCUCCCCUAGUUGAAAAAAAUUCAACCUCGAGUUUUGAUCAUUUUCUUCAUGAUAAGGAGACAAGUCUGAUAUGUUGAAUGUUGAUGAAACACCAUAGCCAUCUGGUAGCUCAAUCUUGUACGCAUUAUCACCAAUGCGUUGCAACACUUUAAAAGGUCAUUCAGCCCUUGGUCUAAGCUUAGCAUACUUCCUAGGUGGAAAACGAUCUUUUCUAAAAUGAACCCAAACCAAAUUUCCUUCCUGAAACUUAGCAUUUCUUCGAUGCUUGUCUACAGAUUUUUUAUACUUCUCAUUUUGCUUCAAUAUUCUAUCUCGAACCUGUUCAUGCAUCUUCUCGAUACUUUUAGAGCGUUCUUCAGCCUCUCCACUAAAUUGAUGAUCAGUCAAAAAGUGGAGCCAAAUCCAAAGGACUAAUUGGAUUCUUGCCAUAAACUACUUCAAAGGGACUUGAACCAGUAGUUUGAUGUAUGGAGUGAUUGUAAACAAAUUCAAUCUAAGGCAAAAUAAGAUGCCAUUGACGAAUGUUCUUGCCCACAUAACUUCUCAAGAGAUUUCCCAAGCUUCGAUUCGUCACUUCAGUCUGAUCGUCAGUUUGAGGAUGAUGAGAAGAGCUGAAUUUAAGAGUGGUUCCCAACUUCUUCCAAAGAGUGUGCCAAAAGUGACUCAAAAACUUUGAAUCCCGAUCAGAGACAAUGGUUUUUAGAAUUCCAUGUAGCUUCACAAUCUCCUUGAAGUACAAAUCAGCCACAUAAGAGGCAUCCAAUGUCUUGUUACAUAGAACAAAAUGAGCCAUUUUUUAGAAUUGAUCAACCACCACCAUGAUAGAGUCUUUGUUUCUUUGAGUUCUUGGCAACCCAACAACAAAGUCUAGACUAACAUCUUCCUAGGGAGCUUCAGGGACUGGUAAAGGAUUGUAUAGGCCUGUGUUUUAACCAUGAGCUUUGGCAAUAUGACAGAUUUUACACCUCUGCACAUGAUGCACAACAUCUUUAUCCAUCUUUGGCUAAUAUAAAUUACCUUGCAAGCAAGCUAACGUCUUAUCCUUUCCAAAGUGACCUCCAACAGCACUGCCAUGUGCCUCCAUGAUAAUAGAUUCCCGCAAAGAACACUGAGGAAUACAUAAACAAUUCCCCUUGAAAAGAAAGCCAUCAUGCAAUUGGUACUGAUCAUAUGAUCCAUUCUCACAUUCUCUCCAAAUCUUACCAAAGAAAGAAUCAUCUUUGUAUAGCUCUUUUAAAAUUUCAAAGCCUACAACCUUCACUUGCAUAGAAGAAAGCAAGGAAUGUUUUCGACUUAAAGCAUUAGCCACAACAUUUUGAGCACCCGAUUUAUACUUGAUGGUAAAAUUGUAAGCUUGAAGAAACUCCACCCAUCCGACAUGUUUUCUACUAAGCUUUUGUUGACUAUUGAUAAACUUUAGUGCAUCAUGGUCGGAGAAGAGAAUAAAUGGCCUUGAAAGCAAAUAUUGACUCCAAUGGUUCAAAGCUCGGCAAAUAGCAUACAAUUCUUUGUCAUAAGUUGAGUACUUUCUGCAAGAGUCAUUCAAUUUUUCACUAAAGAAAGCGAUUGGUUUCGUUUCUUGCCUAUGUACAGCACCAAUUCCAGUAUUAAAGGCAUGACACUCAACUUCAAAUACCUUGCUGAAAUAUGGAAGUGAAAGAACAUGCGCUUCAAUCACCUUUCUCUUGAUGAUUUCAAAACUCUCUUGUGCUUCUUUAGUCCAUUUGAAACCUCCUCCUUUCAAGCAUUCAGUUACUGGAGCAACAAUUGUACUGAACCCUCUGAUAAAUCAUCGAUAAAAAGAAGUAAGACCAUGGAAACUUUGGAUUUCAUGUAGCGACUUAGGAAUUGGCCAGCUCAAAAUGGCCUCCACCUUGCUUGGAUCCAUUUUAAUUCUAUCUUUCGAUACAACAUAACCCAAAAAGACAAGGCUAUCAGUAAAGAACCUGCACUUUUUCAAGUUGACAUAAAGCUUUUGAUUUCUGAAAAUCUCAAAGACUUGGCGAAGAUGCUCUAAGUGUUGUUUUUCAUCUUGGCUAUACACAAGCAUGUCAUCAAAACACACAACAACAGAUCUACCAAUCAGAGGCUUAAAAACGUGAUUCAUCAGCCGCAUGAAAGUGCUUAGGGCAUUAGAUAGACCAAAUGGCAUAACCAUCCAUUCAUAAAGUCCAUCCCUUGUUUUGAAGGCCGUUUUCCAUUCGUCACCAGGCCUCAUUCUUAAUUUGAUGAUAGCCACUUCGAAGAUCGAUCUUAGAAAAGAUUGUAGCACCAUAGAGCUGGUCUAGAAGAUUGUCAAGGCAUGGAAAAGGGAAACGAUAAUCAAUCGUUAUCUUAUUCACUACUCUGCUGUCAACACACAUACGCCAAGAUCCAUAUUUUUUUUGUACCAAUAAGGCAAGAACAGCACAAGGACUUUUGCUUUCUCUCACCAACCCUUUCCUUAAAAGCUCUUCAAUUUGCCUCUAUAAUUCUUCGUUCUCCUUUGGAUUCAUUCGAUAAGCCGCUUUAUUUGGUAGUACAUAACCCGAAAUAAGAUCAAUGCAAUGUUGAAUCUCCCUCAUGGGAGGAAGGCCAUGUGGUAAUUCUUCUAUAACAACAUCUGAGAAUUCUUCGAGAAAAUAUGUAAUGACCUGCCCCAACCUCCAUAGGGCGAAUCUUACUGAUAGAUCCUUUUACAAUCCAUAAAAAAUAUAUCCUUGAAAAUAAAAAUAUAAAACGCAAACUGUAGCGGAAGAAUUUAAAAUUCAUGCCAAACCAUCUAAUUCCUCCAUUCAAGUCCUUCUCGAUGCUCAUCACGAAUCAAUCCUGAUUUAUGGAAAUUGAAUCACAAUAAACUAUAAUGAGUAUGAAACUCAGUAAGUAAACUAGUUUUACAUGUACCAAAAUACAUAUAUACAUAUAUAUAGUGCAAAUGAAUGACGUGCCAUGGUAUUAGAAAACAUCGUAAAACAAAUCAUCGAAAUCUCAUUAUGUCUUUCUCAAACUUUCACAUUCUCUUUUAAACCACUUACUUGAGCUACCUUCAUUCGAUUACCGCUUAGUAGGACACUCUCUUAACUUUCAUAACUUUCAUAACUUUCAUACUCUUUGGGCUUCUCGCCAAUGCGUCCUUCGCCCACUUAUCUCAUAACUAUAUAAACAUCUAGAGUGUCCUCCACUAAGCCAGUAA
rnacentral:lncRNA from 1 species